rnacentral:lncRNA from 1 species
AUACAAAAUGUCCAUGGAUCAUAAUGAUAAACAGAGAAACAAUAGACAAAUUAAUAUCUGAACAGAGAAAAAGCACAGAUUCUGAGCAAUCAGACGCAUCUGCAAAGCGAACAAGAACAAUAAAAAAAAGUUUCACAAUCAGGCACACAUCGUGGCGACACAAUGCACACGGCCACUAGGGAGCGGCUACCUACUGUAGCAUUGCCAUGGAUGCGACCGCCGCCAACGCCAUGGCCGCGACAGCCCGGUAACCUGCUCGGACGACCCCGGCGCCAUUAGCGUUGGGCGCGGGCGCGGUGGUGGCCGGCGUGUCGGGGGUGCUGUCCGUCGACGACGCGGCCGGCGGCGAGGCGGCGCUCGGCUCGCUGCCGCCGCUGGGGGACGCCGCCGCCGACGAGCGCGCGGGCGCGGGCGCGGGCGCCUUGGAAGGGGCGUCAGAGGACCGCGGCUUGAGGACGCGGAUGUUGACCUUCUGGCCGGCGGCGCAGUGGCCGGGCACGCCGCAGAUGAAGAAGCGGUGGCCGGGCCUCUUGAUGGCAAUCUUGUCGUCGCCGGAGGUGUGCGUGGCGAUGGGGGUGGAGUUGCUGCAGCUGUCGUAGGCGUCCUUCGUCACCUCCAGCACGUUGUGGAUGCCCUGGGGGUACACGAACUCUGCACGCACGCGGUCAUCGUCAUCGUCAUCGUUACAAUUCAGAACGAAAGAAAGCAGGGCGGAAAAACGUGCUCUUUUCGGUAAGUAUGAUCUUUCUCGAUGCCACGAUGAUCACGCAAAGAACAAAUAAAGAAGUGGAUGGGAUGAAGCAAAACGUGCAGCCGAAGGUACAGCUACCUGUAAAGAGAGUCGAACACUACGUUUGACACAGAUGCAGAAAAACAUGCUUGCAUGGUACUCAUGAUUGGAAAAAUUGUCAAAGUUCUUCACUUUACAACUACUAGGUUGACAGUAGUAUACCGAUAGAUGCAUGGUGGUUGAAUUGCAGGUAGAUGAUAGUUUGGCAAUGAAAUAACCCUUUGUCUGGCAUCUUCAUAAUAGCCCUAUAUGGUUGUUUAUUGUGUACUUCAUAUCGAGUAUGCGGCCUUAUUUCCAACUCCUUAAAAACCAGCCUCGAAUUAGAGAUUGCAACGCAGAAAGAAUGCUGUCAGAAACCAUUUCUCACUCCAUGGUUAAAGUUCAGGUAAUGCAUUGACAGAUGUAACAGAGACAGCAUCGUAUGCCCAUGGUGCAAUAACUAUCUACAUCAACCAGGCCAUGUGUCCAUUUCUUGGAUUCCUGGCUGGCCUUUUCUGAUUCAGAUCUCCAGUGGCCCCGUUCGGCCAGUAAAAUUGUGGAUCAUACAUAUUACGUGAAUUCCCUUUACAACUACAUAAAGCUUGCAGAUUUGAACUACUACUGUGCGAUAAGAGUAAGACACGUAAAAGCAGAGGUAAAAGGAACUAUUUACCCUAAUUCCGUUGCCAAUGCCAUGGUUAAAGCAAGACAGUUCAUCUAAACGCAACGACAAAAGAGAAGAAGGACGCGUUGUAAAAGUACUGACGGCGACAAGAGAGUGGCGUUCAUCUUUGCAUCAGUGAGCAAUGGGGGACAGCAGAUGCAUGGCGCUUGCUCAACUCAACAUAUACCUGAACCUUGAGCAAUGGUACUACAUCAGCGAAGCGCAUAGUAUUUGCAGAUAAUGUGGAUGUCGUUGUGUAGAGAUGAUACCACACAUGAAACAUGCUCCUAAAUGGCGUAUCAACUGUCAAGCGCAAGCUACGCGAGAGUAAAACUGACAGGAAGGAAACGUGUGCAGCAGUGACGAGCAAUGGACUGGACCUGACACUGAAGCUACGUAAACAUUGGCAAGAAUUAUGAACUUGUAGCAAUUCUUGAGCGAGAGAAAGGCCGAACUUGCCUAUGAUGUCUCCAACAUGGAAGUUCUUCUUCGUAGUCCAGUCGGUGUAGUUGAUGUUGCCGAGGAUGGUCCAGCCGGAGCUAUCGCCGACCUUGUAGGUGACCGCCGACGAGGUCGCCGCCAUCGCGAGCCCAAGCGUCAGCACCAGCAAACCCUUCAUGCCCAUGGCCAUUGCUGCACCUGCUCCCCUGUGUCUAAGCUACACACCCCCUCUGAUCUCCCGAAGCUAUAUAUAGCAAGAAGAGAUCGAGGAGGAGAUGCCAAGAGCAGAGGAGACGCAAGGAAUUCAGUUCCACACGCUUUGCUUGCGCCAAUGCUUCGCCGAGGAGUACGAUUUAUAGAGCCUCUUGCUCUCGUUCCCUGCAUUGACCGUUUUGCCCCUGUGUUGUGCAAACAAUAUGCUCUCUGCUUUGCUGUCUGCUCUGCUCACUCGGUGCUGGCAGGUUGCUCUCGCGCGGCGUUUUGCUCAUGUUCCUUGAGUAAAGCAAACUCAAAAGCUGGCCGUGAAUCCAAGUCUUGAUCAUGAGCCUGCUUGUGUUGUUGGGUGAGGUCUGAGGUGCCAAUGCCAUGAGUGAGUGGGCUCUGCUGGUGAGUUGGAGUUGGAUCGAGUUGGAGAGUUGGAUAUCUUUUUCGUUCCAUGGAAGCAACAACGGCAACCAUGCAUGCAGGAUUUUGUCUUUCUUUUGAUCCGUUUGGUGGAUAUAUGACAGCUUGCAGUGAGGCAGGCCUUUUUUUUUGUUUUAUCCGUUCUCUUUUCACAUGUGGUAUAUAUGAGGAGAGAGUGACUAUGAAAUAUUUUAUUCGGGUUUGCUAUGUGUUUUGUUGACUGGACUGACAUAGAGCAUAAGCAAAGAAGCUUUUACAGGAUGUCAGCCCACGAAGUACUAUAAUUAGUUAGCACUUUGAGAGUCGGAGGAAGCAAUCGAACAACGCCGUACACACGUAGCUUGUGCUUUUGUCAAGGAAAAAAACUAAAUAUUUGUUGCGAGCUCCCUUCACAAGCCUAUCAGAUAUAGUACCGAAUAUGUUCAAAGGCGUAGAAAUAGACAGUUGUAUUUAAAAAAAAUAGUUAUAAAUUUCCUGUGUUAUGUGGCUAGAUGCAGCACGCGUGGAUAUUGCACAUUAAUUACUUGCACGCAGUUGAGGGAACAUACUCCCUCCAUCCUAAAAAUAACUUGUUACUCUAGUUUUAUCCGACGUCAAAAUCUUUAACUUUGACAAAUCUUGUAGAAAAUAUGUAAAUUUUUACAAUACUAAUUAAAUACACUACCAAUAUAUAUUUCAUCAUUUUUUUAACAAACGGGUACGAAAUUGUGCCUAUUUCAUUGAUAUAGAAGAGAGAACAAGAAAACGUCGAUAACCAGCUGCGAACAAAAAGGUUACACCCGCGCGAGCCGGGAAGCCAAGUCUUGGGCUCCCGCUCGUAUCCACACCUCAGCCUCUACUCUAAUUUUGGACAGUAAGGAAUGUGCCGGCGCUUCCACCUUGCAGAAGACUCUUGAGUUCCGUUCUUUCCACACUUCCCAGAUGACUAACAGGACUAGGCUUGUACUCGCUUUUCCGAGGUAGAGUGCGACCGUCGGUGUGCUGCGACCAGUCGGUGUGCUGCGACCACCAAGCCAAAGCGGCGUCGGCCGGUUGCUAGUUGGUUUUCUUGAGGUCUGGCUGUCCAACCCAAUCCGCCACCAUACUCCAAACUCUCCUAGUGUAUCUGCAUCCAGGUGGUGUAGUACGUUGGUUUCUAAGGUCUGUCGCCAGAGAACGCAGGCUGGGUUGUGUGUCCACCCCCUCGAGGCAAGGCGCGCAUUUGUUCAGAUUCUGUUCUAAGUGGCAAGCCACGUGAAGAACUUGCAUUUUGGCGGGGCACAGGCUUUCCAAAUGGAGCUAAGUUGCGUUGAGUUCGUACUUCGCUUUGUAGGCCGAAGCUGUUGAAUACAAUCCAUCUGUUGUAACCUUCCAUGUAAUGUGAUCUUCACUCUCUUGGUCGAGGUGGAUGUUUACAUGUGAUCUUCACUCUCUUGGUCGAGGUGGAUGUUUUGGAUUAGGGGCCACGGUUCCACGAAUUCCUGAAUAUGGCGGGAGGAAAAUGUAGUUGAGAUGUUGAGGUCUCUAAUCCACGUGUUCUACAUUAAGGCGGGAGCAGCCGUUCUUUUCUUUUUUUCUUGAGACGUUGUACAUCUUUGGCGCUAUGUCUCUCGAACGGUGUGCAACCAGGCUGAGUUCCAGAAGCUCAUCUUUUCACCAUUUCCCAAGUGGAUUGUGGUGCAUGCCGCGAAUAGUAGACGGUCCGUCUCGUCGCUGGGCACGUCGGUGCCCAUCCAUGCCUUUUCCGGCGAUGCCCAUUCUUGCCAUAACCAUCCGAGCCGCAAUGCUCUCGCGAACUUUUCCAAGUUCAGGAUGCCUAGGCCGCCAUUUUCUUUCGGGAGGCAACAUCUUAUCCAAUUAAUCUUGCACUUUCCGCCGGUUAACUCCUUUUUGCCGGCCCAGAGGAAGCGCUUACGAAUUUUGUCGUGGUCUUGGAGUAUCUCUUGUGUUGUUUUAAUUGUCGUGAGCAGAUAUACCGGCUGUGAGGUUAGCACCGAUUUAGUGAGGCUCAUUCGACCCAUGGGAUAGUUAGUCUUAAUGAAAACAUUAAAUUUCUGCCUGUAAGGAAGGGAUCAGAUGCUUAAGCAUAAGGUAUGUGGAGUUCCACCUGACGUCCAUGUACUAAUCAAAUUUUCUAGGACGAACAUGCACAGCAAGGCAGAAUCUCUUAAAUGCAGCAAUGCGCUGGUUAGAAGAAUUGAUGAAAGAAAUUAUAGUUCUAAAAGCUUCAAGAUAUUGCUUAAUCUCAAUCAAGGCAGAUUUAACCAUAAGAUUAAUGAUAUGAAAAGCACAAUGCUGAUGCAAGAACACUUUACCAACAUAAGCAGAUAAUUUAGGACUCAGUUUCUCAAUAGCAUUGGAAUUAGCAGAGGCAUUAUCCAAAGUAACAGAAAACACCUUCGAAAUCAAACCAUACUCCUCAAGCACAACAGUCACACGACCAGCAAUGUUCUAGCCAUUGUGAGAUUUUUCAAUGAGUCUAAAACCAAUUAUCCUCUUCUCUAAUUUCCAAUCAACACUAACAUAAUGAGCAACCACACUAAGGUAAUCUUCCUUAGCAUUAUCAGAUCAAAUAUCAGAAGUGAUAGACACACAUGAAACACUAGUUAAUGAUUCUAUAAGCUUAGCAAGGCAAGCCUUAAAGUACUUGCUGAAAUCUCUAGUGGUGGUUUGCCUAGAGACAGCAGAGAAUCUAGGAUUAUGAGCAAGCUUAAUGUCCUCUUCAAAUGCAGCAAAUUCACCAAAGCAUAGAGAAAGAUCAAGUCUAGCAAUCAUUUGACAUAGCUGAGUACGAGCUACCUCGGAACUAUAAUCCCAGUGACGGACACUUCCGUCCGAAUUGAACUGGAGCAAAGACUGGGAAACACAAAGCUUUGACUUCCUCGCUCGGCAUUUCUCAACAUGCCGGUUUAGAUGGCUAGUGCCAAUAGUAGAUCGAGCAACACAUACAGUGCCACAAUGUAUGCACUUAGCAGAGACCCUUAUCCUCUUACCAUCGAUGUCCUUGAAGAUCUUUUCGAAGUCCGUCCAUCAUUCAGAGGUGAUGGAACGACUCCUCUUGGUGCUGCUACUCACCAUGUUUGGAUCAGCAGCAGCUGCUGCUACAUCACCAACACCAUCGUCGCCAUUAGUGAUGUCGAUUAGUUCGGGUGCGCUGCCGCUGAAGACCUCUUCCCGCGCUGCCUAUAGGUCACUCUCGUCAUCUAGACGCUGGCCCAGCAUCUGAAGCUCAUCAUUGUAGGUGUGUCCUUGGACCUCCUCCUCAUCAUCCAUCCGGUGCUCUGGUUUCUCAACAGACCGUGUUAGCCGACGCCCUCUGCACACACAAGACAAAAAGUGAGAUCAAGCAGUGACAGUACAGAUACAAGAAGCAUAGAAACUACAAGAAAACGAAAGCAACAGGGAUACUAAAAAGAAAGCAUAGAAACUACAAGAAAAACAAAGCAACAUAUGAUCCAAUACUAAUCGGAUUUGAUACAACAUCAAGUUCAAGUCACAUAAACUUUUACCUACAUUACUUUAUCCAAUUAAGCAGUGAUGCAGAGAAUGAGAUCAAGAGGGGUAAUAGGGGAUCGAGAAGCAGAGAAGGAGAUCAAGCAGGAGAUCAACGGCUUACCUGCAAAUCCGGAGCCCCAGAGUGUCCAGCGAGGUGGACAAACAACCGAGUCAUCGACUCGCCGGAGCUCUAGUCCCUAAACGGCUUCGCGAUGGCGGACGUGAUGACCUGCAGAUAGAAAAAGUUAGAAAGACCGGCCGUCACCUGCCGGAGCAAGAAGCAGAUUAGGGUUAAGGUUAGGGUUAGAGAUUGGAGCUCUUACCAAUGGUUCCGGAGCACCAGAGCGGCCAGUGAGGUCGACAAAAAAUGGAUCUAGCAAGGAGAUGACGAGAGUGGCCGGAGAGUGGAUCUAGUCAUCUAGAUCUAGAGAGGUGCAAGAGGACGAGAGAGAGGUGGAGAGCGACGAGAGUCGAGGGAGGCGACAACAGGAGAGACGAGUGGCGGGGGAGCCGGGAGGCUAGGAUUUCUGGCUGGGGUGGCGAUCGACGCUGGCUUCCAGUCAUCGGAGAGGGAGGAGACGAGAGGGCGAGAGAGGUGUGAGAGGGCGAGAGAUAGUCGAGGGAGGCAGCGAUGGGAGAGAGGAAUGGGAAGGCUAGGGUUUCUGGUCGGGGAAGGCGCCCGACGCCGGCUCAUAUACACCGUCCCCCAACAGUCGGGAAGACCUGAUCCAACGGUUGGGGAGGGGGCUGGCUGUAUCGGGCUAGCGUCAGGCCGACCCAAAAAUCGUGCUGGGCUCGAGAUGGCCCGGUGUGCUAAGGUUGUGGCCCUGGCACUGGCCCGAGCAUAGGGCCGAGCCAACCCAGGCCCUAUUGCCCUCGUUCUGGGCUGUGUUAGGGCUAGGCUUUUUAGGGUCGGGCCUCGUGCCGCCCAGCGGGUCUGGCCCAUCUGGCCAUCUAUACCUUGAGGUGAACGAAGACUCUACUUGCGGGGACGAGUGUCUUGAGCUGGCCCCCGGACCACGGCACACUCCCAAGCCCUGGAGUGUCAGCAAUGCCGAGCCUGUCGACGAGCUGAGUCGCCUUGUUGAUGUAGUCCUCAGGACCGAGGCUCCAGGAUUGCUCUUGUGUCACCGCAAAUGGGAGGAGGGCCUCCAAAUGACAUACCUUGGAGUCAAACAGCGUCUGCAUGUGGUGCUUGAGCGCUUCGGCUUGCGCACUGAACAGGGCAUGCAGUUGUGCGGCUGUCAUACUCUUGAGUUCUCCUAGCGGCAGUGGCGGCGCAAAGGCCCCAAGGUUGGAGUGGAGGACCAUCCGUGCUGGCAGAAGCGGUGGGGCUUCGUAGCCGUCGGAGCGAUGAUGGCCCGCUCUGAACUCGCCGUCCCAGCGUCAUGGCAAGCGUGUCCGUUCGCGACGGACCACAUCGUCCUCCUUGCGCCCAAGCAGCUUGCGCCCACCACGCGCAGGGUGUUCAUAGCCCUCCUCGUCGUCGUCAUCGUAGUGGCGAGCGUGCUAGGGCAUCUGGUGGCGCCCCAUCCACCAAGCCGUAGCGCCAGAUGUAGGGCCAGCGCACCGGGACGAAGUUCGCCCCAUAGUCGCCUCGUGCAGAUUGUAUGAUGCCGCUGAGUAGUCCUCCAACAUCGUCAGGUGGAUGAACACUUUGUAGCACAUUCCUUGUUGCCAGCGCUCCGGCGGGGUCUCGGAGACAAACAGAGGAGGACUUAUCCGAGGGCUUGUGUUUAAUAAAAACUGGUUUGUUGUUGUAGAUGACGAUACUUUUUCUACAAACUUAGUCAAAAUUAGACAAAUUUGAUUUAGGAUAAAAUCAAAGUGACAGGUAAUUUGGGGAUGUAAGGAGUAUUCAGCGAUUUUAUUCUUUAAAAAUAUUGUACCCAAAAACGUGCAACAACACACCGCACUGAAGAAGCGUGAAUAACGAGUCACAAGCACCAUCAUUUUUCUUCCCUUUUCAAUUAUUUACAUAUGUGUGCUGCGUGCAGAAAAUGGUACCGUGCAUUCGAUGAAAAAAAAACGUAGUGCUUGGAUCCGUUCCGUUCCGUUCCUCGGCACUACACAGCGUGUCCAGGAGUCGGAGUAGUGAGUUAUCCAAGGCAAUUACGAGCUAUGGCGUCUGCAUGUACCUGACACGGGUCCGUAAUACGAGUGCUUCUGCUGCUUCUCCUAUCUCUCUCUCUCUCUCUCUCUCUCUCUCUCCAUAACAUACAUCGAUCGCUGUUUUACCAGAAGUUCGUGUUAUUAAUUAAUGUCAACAUAUUAUUGUUGCCAGUAGGUAUUGUAUUGUGGAUUUUUUUUAAAAAAAACGUGUGGUAUUCGUUUUGCAAGUGCUCUGUUCCGUAUAUCCAUUGUGUUUCCCUGAAACUCUGACGUCUGAACACAUUCGUAUUAGGCUAUUAGCUAUGUAUAAUGUAAUCCAUCCGCCUCAAAUUAUACAUCGUUUUGACUUUCUUAGAUAAAUAGAUUUUAUUAUGCACUUAGAUAUACGCUAUAUUUAGAUGCAUAGUAAUAUCUAUGAAUUUAGAAACGCUAAAACUAACUAUAAUUUAGGAUGAAAGGAGAGUUUUGCGUAUGCAUGUUCCGUGCCAACGUACUAGUGUUAGUUAUUUGCUCGAUUUCUCAAGUUCGAUCAAUCACUGGUUAAUUACCUAGCUACCCUGUGAUUUUUGGUAGAUACAUCUAUCAUCGGUCAUACGAGCUAGAACGCAAGAAGAGUACGUAAUUAACGUUAACCUGGGCAUCGCAUCACCAAAAUCAACAUUUACAUAUAGUUCCAUGCAUCACCUCCACGAUCACCAAGAAAACCUGAUUAUAGUAAUAAAAUUACAUAUCGAUCGACCCUCCAUCAACCACCCAACACCAGCUAAGAGAAAGAGAUGGAUGAGAUCACUUAGAUGUCGAAGGUGUUCUUGCCGGUGAACUUGACCUCGAUGGGGCUGACGUUCUUGCCGAUGCUGCGGAAGUUCUGCCCCACGCCCUGCCUGCCGGCGUUGACCUUCUCCGGGUAGACGCCGUCCUUGGGGUGGAGGUACUGGACCUCGCCGUUGGGGAAGACGCGGUAGAACUGGUAGUUGAUCUUGUACUUGGAGCGCAGCCUGGUGCCGAGCGCCAGGCACUGCUCCUUGCGCGCCAGCUUCAGGAGGUUGGGCCCCUCCCGCAUGAUGGCGGCGCCGCCCGUCGGCAUCUCGAACACCUGCUCCUUGGGGGACGUCCACGUGAUCACGUAGAACUCCUCCACCUGCGCCUUCCGGAGCAGCCCGCCCGUGCUGCCGCCGAAGAUCGGGGACGGGGUGUUGGGGUCAAGCUGCGGGGGCACGAACCCCUUGGGCGCCUCCUGGGUCGCCGCCGCGGGGGCCUCCUCGGCGGCCGCGCGGAGCGGGGCCGGCCCGCGGGAGGACGACGGGAGCGCGAGCUGCGAGGACCGCGGCGCCUUCGCCGCUGGCGACCAGGCCGCGGCCAAGAGGUGGCGCGUCGCGGCGGAGGCUUGCGUGGCCAUGGCCAUCGUCGGCUUGAUUCUCGGACGAGCUGGUGCGGCUUCUUGGAGCGAAGCUAAGAGCAAGAUGGCGAGGAGAGAUGAGGAGUGGAGGGCGCGGCGCAGGCACGCAGCUAAGAGGUGAUGCUCUGCUUUGGUUGGAGACCACGGGUGGCGAAGUGGAUAAGGGGAUAUGAGGCCGGCCAAUGGGGAGUCCGGAUUUUGAUACGUCCUGAAACCGGGCAUCCACACAUGUCACGUCGGCUGCCACACGUAGCCGCUCUGGGUGUUGAAAGUUGCAGAUAUCAGAAUCUGAUCAGCGUCACUGGGAAGUCUGGGAGGAAAUUAAAGGUUAGAUGACGUAGGUAUAUGCAUGUACUACAAAAUCUAGCCUGUACAGUAUAUUCUUUUGAUGCGACUAUGCAAGAACCAUCACUUGUAACUGAACACAGAGCUUAUGUUAUUCUUCUGAUGAGUUGAUCAGUAUUCCUUCGGAAAAAAAAAUGAGCUGAUCAGCAGUUGAGCACUUCUUCAGUUCUUUGCAGGGGUAACAUGAGAGUGAGAUUUUUUUUUUGAUAGGGGGGUAACUGAGGGAUGAUAAGGUAAGCCCUUGACUCCGGAGUAUAUUAGUAUAACUAUAAAAAAUCGAACAGGCGCGUGACACAAAAAGCGUGCAGUUUCUUAGCAGCAACGGUAAUUACUGGAUUGGGCCGGCCCAAACGAGAGAGUUCUAUCCGCUCGACAGAAUCCACCGGCCCACGAAGACGUCCACGCAUAUGACAAGUAUGCUUGGGUUUUUUUUUUCAUAUUUAUUAGAAGCACUUUUACUCCCUUCACAAAUCAAAUUCCUUCCCCUUCAUCUUCCUCGCAAAAUAACAACUAUCAAGCAUAUUCCACACUUCUACAGUUCUACUGCAUACAACCACGGACUCACGGAGUUAGAUUUUGUUUCGUUGUGUUUUCCUAUUUUUUUGCGAUUGCAAUAUAUUCUGCAUGUCCAUAAAGACGAAGAGGGACGGGGAAAAUGCAAUUCGUGCUGCCAUUACAAUUUACAAGCCUCUUUUAUCUAGUGGUACUUUACCGUACGUGUCUUAUUCAUGCAUACCACACUUGCAAGGUUAAAAGUAGACAUAUUGAUGGAGUUUCUUGUCGUCUCUAAAAGAAUCACAUUUCACAACUGCACAAUAAGCACUUCCGUAUAAUCCUCCUGAAAAUCGAUCAAAAUAAACGCCGGGGCAAUUUAUAAUAUCCUAUGGUAAAACCUAGUGAAUGCAAGCAAAACCAGGAACCGUUUGUAAAUGGAUCCAGUUACUCGGCCUCGUUGGCUGCCAACCUUCCAAUUCUGCUGUGGCACGGCCGUGCCGCCGUCUCCCCCGGCCAGCCGAGCCAGCCACCGCCGCCGUCCCGAGUGCACCUGCGGUGCCGCCACCAGCGAGGCCUCCCCAUCUUCUUCCUCGCCGCGCCGCUCCGUGCCUCCGUCAGCCCGAACGCGGCUCCCCAUCGGCGCGCAAGUGUGUCCGGCCUAGACACGUCAUCACAUUUUCCGCGCCAUCUGAUCGGGAUCAGUUUUAGGAAAGGAACCCCGACAUGCUUGACAGGAAAUAGCAAUAGCACGGCCACGGGCAAGGCAACCAAGUUCUAGUGGCCCUUUUUGCCGGGCAUGACUACCUGAAGGCGAUAAAUCUGCGACCAUCGCCUCAAGAAACGCAUCCUCGAUGAGUUGCAUGUCGGCCCAAUUAAUUAGACUGCUUCAAUGUGGCGCCCCUUGUUUCAAAGAGAGGAGGACGGGUUAUUCACAUUUAAUUUGAUGGUCAGAGGCGAAUUGAAAGCUAAGCAGUGGUAAUUAAGACCCCCGGGUGAAAAUAGGGAUGUCUCCUACGUUACCCAUAAUAUGUGGAAGUAUCGACGUAAUUUCAUAGAGUCAUUCGAUCUGAAUGCUACAUGAAGAACAUAAGCCAGAUGACGGAACGCGGAGACCUAGGAUGUAGAAGAUCAUAACAUGAGCGAUUCGGCAGAUUUGGAUUCCUUUUCUAUAUAUCCACUCAUGUGGUACUUCAUCAUACGAUUCAUAUAAGAUCCAUCUGUCUAGAGAUCGUCAUAUACAUCUAGAAAGCCGUAUGCUUUGGAAGAAGCUUGUACAGUUUGGGAAGGGGUUUUUUGAGAAAAAAGAAGAAUCUACUUCAACCGAUAUGCCCUUAGGCACGGCCAUACAUAACAUAGAAAUCACACGUGGAAGGGGUGGGCAAUUAGCUAGAGCAGCAGGUGCUGUAGCGAAACUGAUUGCAAAAGAGGGUAAAUUGGCCACUUUAAGAUUACCAUCUGGGGAGGUCCGUUUGGUAUCCCAAAACUGCUUAGCAACAGUCGGACAAGUGGGUAAUGUUGGGGUGAACCAAAAAAGUUUGGGUAGAGCCGGAUCUAAGUGUUGGCUAGGUAAACGCCCCGUAGUAAGAGGGGUAGUUAUGAACCCUGUGGACCACCCCUUUCUUUUACCUAUUUCUCUGGGCAAUCUCUUAUUAACAACUUCUUUCCAACUAGUUUCACUAUAAAUAAGAUAAUACAAUAACAGUAAGAAUAUUUUCAACACAAAAGUUCUCUCAAACAAGAGAAAGAAACAUACCUUUUUCAUACAUAUUUAGAAUAUGUUCCCUAUGCUAACUGGGUUCAUUAGUUAUGGUCAACAAACAAUACGCGCCGCAAGAUACAUUGGUCAAGGUUUCAUAAUUACCUUAUCCCACGGUAAUUAUGAAACUAAAAUACCCUAUAGGGCUAAGCGGAACGAAAAGGGUUUUCCAUAAGAUGGUAAAUGAAAACGAUUAGCCCCACACGAGGUUUGGGAAUAAGUGAUUGUCUGAUAAUGAGCAAGGAAUAUACGUCUUUCUGCUAAAGAGCAUCUAUUAAACUCAUAAUUCAUUAGAUCCUUGUUAGCAAUGUCAACUAGGUAUCAUAAGUAAAUGGAUCCCGGUUGUUCAAUCCUUUGAUAACCAAGGUCAUUCUUUGCUAAAGAGAAAUGAUCACUAUGGGUCAGACUCAAUAGAAUUGGAUCCAUUCCAAAUAGCGAGAAUUAGGAUUCUUGAUCCCUCUCAAUCUCUCUUUCAAUUCGAGGAUCCAGAGAGGUGUUUUCAUAGUCAUCUCCGAAUAUUUGCCAUCUCCGAAUAUUUGCCAUCUCCGAAUAUUUUCGAUUUCAUUUUUCUAUGAUAUGUCUUUCUAUAUGAAAAUUGGUUAUUUACGAUGUACGAUGAUCCCUGUUAAGCAUCCAUGGCUGAAUGGUUAAAGCGCCCAACUCAUAAUUGGUAAAUUUGCGGGUUCAAUUCCUGCUGGAUGCACGCGAACGGGAACGUUCCAUAAGUCUAUUGGAACUGGCUCUCUAUCUAUGGAAUCUCAUCCAUCAUCCAUACAUAACGAAUUGGUAUGGUAUAUUCAUACCAUAACAUAAGAACAAUAAGAACUCGAAUUCUUAUCGAUACUGGAACUCAGAGCAUAGGAGGGAAAGUCGAUUUAUGGAUGGAAUCAAAUACGCAGUAUUUACAGAAAAGAGUCUUCGUUUAUUGGGAAAGAAUCAAUAUACUUCUAAUGUCGAAUCGGGAUUCACUAAGACAGAAAUAAAGCAUUGGGUCGAACUCUUCUUUGGUGUUAAGGUAGUAGCUGUGAAUAGCCAUCGACUACCCGGAAAGGGUAGAAGAAUGGGACCUAUUCUGGGACAUACAAUGCAUUACAGACGUAUGAUCAUUACCCUUCAACCGGGUUAUUCUAUUCCACUUCUAGAUAGAGAAACGAACUAAAGGAGAAUACUUAAUAAUACGGCGAAACAUUUAUACAAAACACCUAUCCCGAGCACACGCAAGGGAACCGUAGACAGGCAAGUGAAAUCCAAUCCACGAAAUAAAUUGAUCCAUGGACGGCACCGUUGUGGUAAAGGUCGUAAUGCCAGAGGAAUCAUUACCGCAAGGCAUAGAGGGGGGGGUCAUAAGCGCCUAUACCGUAAAAUCGAUUUUCGACGGAAUCAAAAAGACAUAUCUGGUAGAAUCGUAACCAUAGAAUACGACCCUAAUCGAAAUGCAUACAUUUGUCUCAUACACUAUGGGGAUGGUGAGAAGAGAUAUAUUUUACAUCCCAGAGGGGCUAUAAUUGGAGAUACUAUUGUUUCUGGUACAAAAGUUCCUAUAUCAAUGGGAAAUGCCCUACCUUUGAGUGCGGUUUGAACUAUUGAUUUACAACCCAAAAUCACCAUUCCUUUUGGUUCGCACAACCAAAAAAUUAUUCUGAAGGUCUACAGGAAGAUAAAAAAAUACGGAAUUGUAUCAAGAACUAUAUACAACAGAAUAGGAAAAAGGCUCGAAUAGAAAAAUAGAAUCAGACUCAAGUUCUGAAGUAAUUACACAUAUAGAAAUCAAAAGAAAUUGAUACAAUCCACCGUCAUAAUCCAUAUUGGAUUCCCCAAUUUAUUAAAGAAAAGGGAGCAAUCGAAGAAUUAGAGAAAGAUCUCCAAAAGGAAGUUAAUUCUGUAAACCAGAGACUUAAUAUUGCUAUCGAAAAGGUUAAAGAACCUUAUAGACAACCUAAUAUUCUUGCAGAAUAUAUAGCUUUCCAAUUAAAAAAUAGAGUUUCAUUCCGAAAAGCAAUGAAAAAAGCCAUUGAAUUAACUAAAAAAGCAGACAUAAAGGGAGUAAAAAUCAAAAUUGCGGGUCGUCUAGCAGGGAAAGAAAUUGCACGUGCCGAAUGCAUCAAAAAGGGCAGACUGCCCCUACAAACAAUUCGCGCUAAAAUUGAUUAUUGCUGCUAUCCAAUUCGAACUAUCUAUGGAGUAUUAGGUGUAAAAAUUUGGAUAUUCGUAGAAGAAGAAUAACUAACCCAGUCUUCCCAUUCUGCUCGUUGAUAGAAUAAGACAAGAACUUCUUUUUCCCAAAAUCCCUAAAAAAAGAAGAAAUUAUAUCUCUUUCUAUAAGAUUUAAUGAAAAUUGAUAAAUCUUUUAAUAUAAUUGCUAUGCUUAGUGUGUGACUCGUUAGUUUUUUCUUUAGGGUCAAAAAUGAGGAUUUAUAAAAAAAAAUGGGCUGAACCCUACUAAAAAUAGAAAAAAACUUAGUAAUUCUAGAAAAUUAACUAAUAACCAACCUAUUGCUUCGUAUUGUCGAGAUCCUAACUAAGAACCAGUCACUAUGUGAAUAAAUACAUCUAUAAAAAAUGAGUAGAUCUAUCAUAUAGUUGUAGCAACUGCAUUUUUUUCUCUACAAAAGAAACCUGAUUUUAGGCUGUGAAGCAAAACUAAAGGGAUGUGGAUAAAAGGAGGGAUGAUAGAUAGAAGGAAGAAGAAUAAGAAAGAUAUAGGAUUCCAAUGUGUAUGGUCUAUGAAUUACAUCAUAAAAAAAAAGCAAUGUGAUAAAGCAUCAAUAUAAUAAAAUAAUAAAAAAAGAGAGAAUUCGAAAUCGUAACUUUUGAAAUAACAAAUCAAAAUUUAAAGAAAUAAAAAAGAGCAGCCCGCGUUAAUAAAACUGAGAAAAUUGACUCGGAAAGAAAUUUUUUGGAAGCUCCAUUGCAGGAUUCAAACCUAACCAUUAAAGGAGAAGCAGUGGGAACGAGAAAACCUAUGACGGCAUCGGAUUUUAUUGAAAAGAAUCCUAACACUUCAUUGGGUGGGAUGGCGGAACAAACCAAAAAAGUGGCUUUAUUUGAUAAGAUUCUAAAUUAACAAAUAAGACAGGAAAGAGUAAAUAUUCGCCCGCGAAAUCCUUAUUGGAUUAGAAUACUUUACCACGAUUCAAUAAGAAUAAAAAUAAGGAGAUUCCAAAAUAUUAUGGAAUUAGAGAAAUUCGCACGCUUUCUCAUUUAAUUCGCGAGGAGCUGGAUGAGAAGAAACUCUCAUGUCCAGUUUUGCAGUAGAGAUGGAACUAAGAAAGAACCGUCGACUAUAACCCCAAAAGAACUAGAUUUCGUAAACAACAUAGAGGAAGAAUGAAGGGAAAAUCCUGCCGAGGCAAUCGUAUUUGUUUUGGUAGAUAUGCUCUUCAAGUACUUGAACCCGCUUGGAUCACCGCAAGACAGAUAGAAGCAGGACGAAGAGCAAUGACACGAUAUGCACGUCGUGGUGGAAAAAUAUGGGUGCGUAUAUUUCCCGACAAACCGGUUACAAUGAGACCCACAGAAACACGUAUGGGCUCGGGAAAGGGAUCCCCCGAAUAUUGGGUAGCCGUUGUUAAACCAGGUAGAAUACUUUAUGAAAUGAGCGGAGUAUCCGAAACUGUAGCUAGAGCAGCUAUCUCUAUAGCUGCCAGUAAAAUGCCCAUACGAAGUCAAUUUCUUCGAUUAGAGAUAUAGAACCCCAAAAAGGAGUAUUUAAGAUAAAAAACCCCAGGUUUUUCUUUCUAGAAAGACAAUAUUUCUUUCAUCCUUUUGCAUUGAAAUAACAAAUUGAAAUCAAAAUAAUAUGAUUCAACCUCAGACCCUUUUAAAUGUAGCAGAUAACAGUGGAGCUAGAAAAUUGAUGUGUAUUCGAGUCAUAGGAGCCGCUGGUAAUCAGCGAUAUGCUCGUAUUGGUGAUGUUAUUGUUGCUGUAAUCAAAGACGCAGUGCCCCAAAUGCCUCUAGAAAGAUCCGAAGUAAUUCGAGCUGUAAUUGUACGUACAUGUAAAGAAUUCAAAUGCGAAGAUGGUAUAAUAAUACGCUAUGAUGACAAUGCAGCAGUUAUCAUUGAUCAAAAAGGAAAUCCAAAAGGAACUCGAGUUUUUGGCGCGAUUGCCGAAGAAUUGAGAGAAUUGAAUUUUACUAAAAUAGUUUCAUUAGCUCCUGAAGUAUUAUAAACACUAGUAGACGAGAUAUAGAUCAAAGAAAAAAUUAGUAGAUUGUGUCUCACGUAUAUGCUUUAAAAUCUAAAAUUAAAAGAAAAAGGAAAACAUGUUGAUUAUAGAAAAAUUAGGAGGAACCUAGAAUUAGAGUCUUAUGGGCAAGGACACUAUUGCUGAUUUACUAACCUCUAUAAGAAACGCAGACAUGAAUAAAAAAGGAACUGUUCGAGUAGUAUCCACAAAUAUUACCGAAAACAUUGUUAAAAUACUUCUACGAGAGGGUUUUAUUGAAAGUGUUCGGAAACAUCAGGAAAGUAACAGAUAUUUCUUGGUUUCAACUUUGCGACAUCAAAAGAGAAAGACUAGAAAGGGAAUAUAUAGAACUAGAACCUCUUUAAAGCGUAUCAGCCGACCUGGCUUACGAAUUUAUGUCAACUAUCAAGGAAUUCCUAAGGUUUUGGGCGGAAUGGGAAUUGCUAUUCUUUCUACCUCUCGAGGUAUAAUGACAGAUCGAGAAGCUCGACUAAACAGAAUUGGGGGAGAAGUCUUAUGUUAUAUAUGGUAAUGGCCCCACCUAUAGUACCCGAAUUCUAUCUCGAACUUCCUAUUUUGAAAAUAAAAAUUGAAAAAUAGGAGAAAAAAAAAUAUGACAGAAAAAAAAAAACCGAGAGAAGCAAAAGUCACUUUCGAAGGUUUAGUUACGGAAGCCCUACCCAACGGAAUGUUCCGCGUUCGCCUAGAGAAUGACACCAUCAUCCUGGGCUAUAUUUCAGGAAAGAUCCGGUCUAGCUCUAUACGAAUACUGAUGGGGGAUAGGGUCAAAAUUGAAGUAAGUCGUUAUGACUCCAGCAAGGGGCGUAUAAUUUAUAGACUUCCCCAUAAGGAUUCGAAGCGUACCGAAGACUCGAAGGAUACUGAAGAUUUGAAGGAUACCAAAGAUUCAAAGGAUUAGGUUUUUCUAGGGUAAUAACUUCCAAGUUUCAAAAUUUAAGUGAAGAGACUCAUUUUUUCCAAAAGAAUAGAUUCAUAGUUUAAGAAAGGAAUACCUAUAUAUGAAAAUAAGAGCUUCCGUUCGUAAAAUUUGUACAAAAUGUCGACUGAUUCGCAGGCGUGGACGAAUUAGAGUCAUUUGUUCCAAUCCGAAGCAUAAACAAAGACAGGGGUAAUCUUUCGAAAAAGGAGCUUUUCUUUCUAAAAAGUAAAAAAAAAGUACCUACGGAAAUGUCCAAAUUCCAAAUAAAAAAAUGAGAGUAAAGGAUAUAUUUUACCCUGAAACGGAUAUCUUUGUAUCUUUUUUUCUUUUUGUUAUUUCUAACUCAUAUUUAUGAGAUAAUAAAAUAUGACAAAAGCUAUACCAAAAAUAGGUUCACGUAAGAAAGUGCGUAUUGGUUUGCGUAGGAAUGCCCGUUUUAGUUUACGGAAGAGUGCACGUAGAAUAACAAAAGGGGUUAUUCAUGUUCAAGCCAGUUUCAACAAUACCAUUAUAACCGUUACAGACCCACAAGGUCGGGUGGUUUUCUGGUCCUCUGCAGGUACUUGUGGAUUCAAAAGCUCACGAAAAGCAUCACCCUAUGCUGGUCAAAGAACAGCAGUAGAUGCUAUUCGUACAGUGGGUUUGCAACGAGCAGAAGUUAUGGUAAAAGGUGCUGGUAGCGGAAGAGACGCCGCAUUACGAGCCAUUGCUAAAAGUGGUGUACGGUUAAGUUGUAUACGCGAUGUAACACCUAUGCCGCAUAAUGGAUGUCGACCUCCUAAAAAAAGACGUCUGUAAAAGAAUUAAACCGCUUUCAAGAGAAAUAAACGAUUCAAUGAUCAAAUAAUAAUACUAGUCCGUUAUGGUUCGAGAGGAGGUAACAGGAUCCACCCAAACACUAGAGUGGAAGUGUGUUGAAUCAAGAGUAGAUAGUAAGCGUCUUUAUUAUGGUCGUUUCAUUCUGUCCCCGCUUAGAAAAGGUCAAGCGGAUACUGUCGGUAUUGCCUUGCGAAGAGCUUUACUUGGAGAAAUAGAAGGAACGUGUAUCACACGCGCCAAAUUUGGGAAUGUGCCACACGAAUAUUCUACAAUAGUAGGUAUUGAAGAAUCCAUACAAGAAAUUUUACUAAAUUUGAAAGAAAUUGUAUUGAGAAGUAAUCUCUAUGGAGUUAGAGACGCAUCAAUUUGCGUCAAAGGUCCUAGAUACAUAACCGCUCAAGAUAUAAUCUUACCGCCUUCCGUAGAAAUCGUUGAUACGACACAACCUAUAGCUAACUUGAGAGAGCCGAUUGAUUUCUAUAUUGAGUUACAGAUCAAGAGAGAUCGCGGAUAUCAUACGGAACUCAGAAAGAACUCUCAAGAUGGAAGUUAUCCUAUAGAUGCUGUAUCCAUGCCUGUUCGAAAUGUGAAUUAUAGUAUUUUUUCUUGUGGGAAUGGAAAUGAAAAACAUGAGAUACUUUUUCUAGAAAUAUGGACGAAUGGAAGUUUAACUCCUAAAGAAGCGCUUUAUGAAGCUUCUCGUAAUUUGAUUGAUUUAUUUCUUCCUUUUCUACACGCAGAGGAAGAGGGCACUAGUUUCGAAGAAAAUAAAAACAGAUUUACUCCACCCCUUUUAACCUUUCAAAAAAGAUUCACUAAUCUAAAGAAAAACAAAAAAGGAAUUCCAUUGAAUUGUAUUUUUAUUGAUCAAUUAGAAUUGCCUUCUAGAACGUAUAAUUGUCUCAAAAGGGCCAAUAUACAUACACUAUUGGACCUUUUGAGUAAGACUGAAGAGGAUCUUAUGCGAAUUGAAAGUUUUCGUAUGGAAGAUGGAAAACUUAUAUGGGACACUCUCGAGAAGCAUCUCCCAAUUGAUUUACUUAAGAACAAGUUCUCGCUUUAAAUCCAUUGCAAUUUUUUCCUCUUUUUCUUUUUUUUUGAAUUAGAAUAAAAAGAAAAAAAAGCAAUUUUGCAUCUUUGGCACAAUCUAUAUUUUCGCGAAAUGGAUCAUAAUAAAAUGGAUUUUAGGUAUCUAGGGAAGAUUCACUUGGAAGUAACUAUUUCCUAGAUACCCAUGCAGGGGGCUUCGCGGUUGAAUGAAUCAACUCGAAAAAUCCCUAAAAAAGACCUAAAGUUAAGGAUUUAUCAAUGGGUAAUGUUGCUCCAAUACCUAACCAAAGAGCUACUGCAGUACCGAGUAAAAAAACGGUCGUAGCUACUGGGCGACGAAAUGGAUUUUGGAAUUUAUUGACAUUCUCUAGAAAGGGUACUGUCAAUAAGCCCGUUGGCACAGAAACCAUUAAGAGAACGCCCAAUAACUUAUUGGGUACUGUACGGAGUAUUUGAAAUACGGGAAAGAAGUACCACUCGGGUAAUAUUUCCAGAGGAGUUGCAAACGGAUCCGCCGGUUCACCAAUCAUUGACGGCUCGAGAACCGCUAAACCUACAUUACACGCAAUAGUACCUAGAAUUACUACUGGAAAAAUGUAUAAAAGAUCGUUGGGCCACGCGGGUUCCCCGUAAUAAUUAUGUCCCAUCCCUUUAGCUAAUUUUGCUCUUAAUACAGGAUCAUUUAAGUCAGGUUUCUUUGUUAUUGGGAUAGGUGAAUUCUUUAGGAUCCAUCCCCCAAAGGAACCGGACAUGAGAAUUUUUCAUCAUCCGGCUCGAGCAAGAAUGAAAGAAAUAAGACCGUGGAGAAUCCACAAUAGAAUAGGGUAUAUAAUGACUCAAUGACUCAAGGCAAGAAAAGCUUUAUCAGAUUAUCUUUUCCGAAGUUGCGCCUAUAACUACUCAUUGAAAAGAAUCCUAUUCUUAUGCGUAAAUGCUCAAUAUCCAAGUGGGCUUACAAAUUUGAUCAUGAUCAAUUGCUUUGUGGAUUGUCUCUUGAUUAGUUGGUGUUUAUCCCCUCAAUAUCGCAAGUUUCUUACAUCCAAACAAAGUAUUUACUUGUUACUAAUAAAAAAUCAAAAAGUUUAGCCUACGUUCUUCCUUAGAUCCCUUCUUUUACUCCGAUAGUAUUGCGGAUCGAAAUCGAUGCAAAGAAAAUGAAUGCAUUUCCAUACUAUAAUAAAAAGUAUGUGUAAUAAAUAUAGAAUUGGAUCAUAUCACAUGACUUAUUCCAUUUAUACUCUAUGGGAUCUUACGGAGCCUGCUCAUGGAUGACAUGGUUGGGGUAUGAUCAUAGAAAAUAUUCUCCUCGAGUGAACCAGCCUAUCCUUCCUAGAUAGGGGACUUACGUGUUGAUUGGAUGCGGAGACACCUUUGGUCGUGAAUUCUAAUGUGGCAGAUCCAAUUCUCUAUCUGCAUGGCCAAAUUAAUAAUUCAAGUCACACACUCCCAUAAUCCGCCUUAUUUUCUUUCGUAAAAUUAACUUCAACUAUAACUAUUUGUAUCAAAAUAGUUCGAAGUUGAAGAGAAGUAUCCAAAUGACAUGUCUUAUUGUAAAAUAAGAUAUGUUUGUAGCAAUGAAAUACCACAACCUACCCUAUAUGAUAUAUGAGAAUUAGAAUUCUCUAUGAUAUGCUUUCCCUAUAAAGGACCCGAAAUACCUUGCUUACGUAUCAUUGGAAAGUGCAUUAACAUAAAUACGGCAGUAAGCAGAGGUAGUACAAAGGUAUGUAAACUAUAAAAACGAGUCAAAGUGGAUUGGCCCACACUAGCACUUCCACGUAAUAAUUCCACUAAAGGGGAUCCUAUUACUGGAAUCGCGUCAGGUACACCUGUCACAAUUUUGACUGCCCAAUAACCAAUUUGAUCCCAAGGCAAAGAAUAACCAGUUACACCAAAUGAUGCAGUCAAUACAGCCAAAACCACACCUGUGACCCAAGUUAAUUCACGGGGUUUUUUAAAUCCACCUGUGAGAUACACACGAAAUACGUGCAGGAUCAUCAUUAGAACCAUCAUACUUGCUGACCAUCGAUGAACUGAUCGGAUUAACCAACCAAAGUUGGCCUCCGUCAUUAUAUAUUGAACGGAGGAAAAAGCCUCUGUAACGGUUGGUCGGUAGUAAAAAGUCAUAGCAAAACCGGUAGCGACUUGUACUAGAAAACAAGUAAGUGUAAUUCCCCCUAAACAAUAAAAUAUGUUUACAUGAGGAGGAACAUAUUUACUAGUUAUAUCAUCAGCAAUUGCCUGAAUCUCAAGACGUUCCUCAAACCAAUCAUAUACUUUAUUGAGAUAGGUAACUAGCCCGAUUCCCCCUCCGAGAACCGUAUAUGAAAAUUUCAUCUCGUACGGCUCAAGCAGAAACACACAAAUUUUCAACGGAUAUUAGAAAAAAAAGUUCAAAACUUCACCAGCCACGGUAUUCGAUCGAUUUGCCUUGAAGAUAUGAAAUAAGAAAAAUCCAGAAUUUCUUCUUUGUGAUGAUAAUGCCAAAAAAUCUCAAGUUGGCUCAUCUGUCUUUCUUUCCCGUAUGUUGAUCAUUAGAGGCCUCUUGACUUUUCUCUUCCCUAUUUUUUAUUUAUUUGAUUUUUUUACUUGUAAAAAAAUCAAAUAAAAAUUUAUAGUGGUUUUCUGAUAGAAAUUUUCUUGUUGCGAUCCUAUGAAUCAGUUCAAUUAAAACCUUAGAUUCAUACUAGAGCCACGAUGAUUGAGUCUCAAGCUAAACAAAAGGCAAGGGUUCUUCGAAUAAAAACCGCUUGAUGAUCAUUUAUUGAAAGAGAAAAAAAUUGUCUUUUGGGCAAACAAAAUUGGAAGGAAGAAAAUUUCUUUUUUUAUUAAGAACUACUUGAAUUUUUUUUUUCAGUCUGGUUGCGAGGUCUAAAUAGUGAGUAUGAAUCAUAGUUCCAUUUUUUUUCUUGAUCCACUCUAUGUAUUUCGUGUUCCAGAUACUAGAAUAAAUAAUAUCCGACGAAUUAGAAUCAUCUUGAUAGAGAUAACAGGCCCUUUCUAUGUAUUAUCAAUAGGAUCAAUUCUAACAAGUCACACACUCAUAUUCCAGAGAUACCGAAACAAAAAAAUCCACGGUCGAACUACCAGAAUGUCUAGAAAUGUGAAGCUUAAAGUAGAAAGGCUUUUUUUGGAUGGAAAAACUAUGACUUCAUAGUUUUUGUUAGUAGAAACCUAAUUCGUUAAAAUUCCGUCCAGUAAAACAGAAGAAUUAUAAAUUUCUAAAAUGAUAGAUAGGAAUAUCGCGAAUAAAGCCAUUGCGACCCCCAUAAAAGGAGUAGUCCCCCAACCCGGAGCUACUUUCCCAUAUUCCGAAUUCAAGGGUUUCAAUAAACUACCUGCGCCAGUCCGUUUUGGCUUAGGUCUAGAACUAUCUUCAACGGUUUGUGUAGCCAUAAAUUCUAUUUAAUCAUUGGUGUUGACUUUGUAUACUAUUCCGUUGUAGUUGUAAAUACACGAUCUUUUCCUAGAUCCAUUGUAAUCUUGAAAUUCUAUAAAAAUGGAAACAGCAACUUUAGUCGCCAUCUCCAUAUCUGGUUUACUUGUAAGCUUUACUGGGUAUGCCUUAUAUACCGCGUUUGGGCAACCCUCUCAACAAUUAAGAGAUCCAUUCGAAGAACAUGGGGACUAAUUGAAGUAAGAAGUCUCCCCUCUGGGGGACUUCUUACUUCAAUGAAAUUAUUUAUUUCCUUCAAUUAAAUUAUUUCAUUUUUUAGUCGGAACCUUAGGUGGUUCUCGGAAGAAGAUAGCGAAAAAAAUUAUCCCUAAAGUCGAAACUAAAAGGAACGUAUAAACCAAUGCUUCCAUAGAUUCGAUCCUGGUUUAUUUACAAUUAUAACUUCCACACCUAUUCACUUAUCAUUUGGGAGCAUUUCCCAUAUAAAAAAAGAAAAAGAGUCAAAGAAAGGACAGGAGAUGUUUCUCAUGUCAAAUCAAAAAAGAGAGGUGAAAGAUACCAUAGCAAUGUGGUAUCAGGCUGCCUGUCUCUUUGUAGUUGGAUCUCCAACUUUUUGGAAUGUUCCAAAUUCAACUUGAGCAUCCAAGUCUGGAUCAAUACCAGCAAAAACAUCUCGGAACAAGGUUCGAGCGCCAUGCCAAAUGUGUCCGAAAAAGAAGAGCAAAGCAAAGGUAGCAUGACCAAAAGUGAACCAACCCCUUGGACUGCUGCGAAAAACACCAUCUGAUUUCAAAGUAGCUCGAUCUAAUUCAAAAAUUUCCCCUAAUUGAGCACGCCGCGCAUAUUUUUUUACAGUAGCAGGAUCAGAAUAACUUACUCCAUUAAGUUCGCCACCAUAGAACUCCACCGUUACCCCUACUUGUUCAACACUAUAUUUGGAUUCUGCUCUUCUAAAAGGAACGUCCGCUCUCACAAUUCCCUCUUCAUCUACCAAAACUACCGGAAAUGUUUCAAAAAAAGUAGGCAUACGACGUACAAAAAGCUCGCGUCCUUCUUUAUCUCUAAAGACGGGAUGUCCUAACCAUCCAACAGCUAUUCCAUCCCCAUUGUCCAUUGAGCCUGCUCUGAAUAAUCCCCCCUUUGCCGGAUUAUUACCAAUAUAAUCAUAAAAGGCUAAUUUUUCGGGAAUUUUAGACCAAGCUUCUGACAAACUAAGAUUUUCGGCUAACCCAUCGCUAACUCUUCGAUAUAUUUCUUGCUGAAAGUAUCCCUGAUCCCACUGAUAACGAGUAGGCCCAAAUAAUUCGAUUGGGGUAGUUGCCGAUCCAUACCACAUAGUUCCGGCAACUACGAAAGCAGCAAAAAAAACAGCAGCGAUACUACUGGAAAGUACAGUUUCAAUAUUGCCCAUACGUAAUCCUUUGUAUAGACGUUGCGGCGGACGGACACUAAGAUGGAAUAGGCCCGCUAAUAUGCCCAAUGUACCCGCAGCAAUAUGAUGCGAAGCUAUUCCUCCCGGAACGAAAGGAUCAAAACCUUCUGCACCCCACGCAGGAUUUACAGCUUGUACUUUUCCAGUUAGUCCGUAAGGAUCGGACACCCAUAUCCCAGGGCCAUAUAAACCCGUUACAUGAAAUGCACCAAAGCCAAAACAAGCCACCCCUGCAAGAAAUAAAUGAAUUCCAAAGAUCUUGGGCAAAUCCAAAGAAGGUUUUCCCGUCCGCUCAUCACAGAAUAUUUCUAGGUCCCAAUAUACCCAAUGCCAGAUAGCUGCCAAGAAACACAAGCCAGAAAACACAAUAUGCGCACCUGCUACACCUUCAUAACUCCAAAUACCCGGAUUCGUUACAGUUCCUCCUGAAAUACUCCAACCACCCCACGAAUUGGUUAUUCCUAAACGAGUCAUGAAGGGGAUGACGAACAUACCUUGUCUCCACAUUGGAUCCAGAACAGGAUCAGAGGGAUCAAAAACCGCUAAUUCGUAUAAAGCCAUCGAGCCAGCCCAACCAGAAACUAGAGCUGUGUGCAUUAUAUGCACCGAAAGCAAUCGACCCGGAUCAUUCAAUACGACAGUAUGAACACGAUACCAAGGCAAACCCAUGGAAAUACCCCUUUAGCAAAGAAAAAUAGACACGAUGUCGCUUUAUUUUAUCGCAUUGGAAAAAACUAUCCCUAUGUACCUAACCCUUCCAGGGGAUUCUAUGUCAGAAAGCGUAAAUAUUUAUUUCAUUCCAUUAAAAAUAACAAGCCAAUUCUGUUUGUAAGAAGAAAGAGAAGCAGAUCUAUUCUAUACUCGAUAAGUGCCAAUAUGCAAUGGGUAGCUUGGGCUAUUUGGGAAAACUAAGAAUAGAUCCUUAAUCCCUCUUUGUUUAUCAUUCGAAUCACGGAUUCCUUUUUCUUUAUUCAAUCUGUCUUACCUUCCUUAUAUGUAUAAUCUUUCAAUCUAUGUAUUAAUAGAAUCUAUAGUAUUCUUAUAGAAUAAGAAAAAAAUGAAGAUAAUAAACUCUGGAUUCUUUCUUUCUCUUCCAUUCUUACGUUUCCAUAUUAAAGUGUAGUUUUCUUACUUAAAUUUAAUAAUAUUAAUCUAAUAUGCCCAUUGGUGUUCCAAAAGUACCUUACCGGAUUCCCGGAGAUGAAGAAGCGACUUGGGUUGACUUAUACAAUGUUAUGUAUCGAGAAAGGACACUUUUUUUAGGUCAAGAGAUUCGUUGCGAGAUCACGAAUCAUAUUACGGGUCUGAUGGUAUAUCUCAGUAUAGAAGAUGGAAUUAGCGAUAUUUUUUUGUUUAUAAACUCCCCUGGCGGGUGGCUAAUCUCAGGAAUGGCGAUUUUUGAUACGAUGCAAACGGUGACACCUGAUAUAUAUACAAUAUGCCUCGGAAUAGCCGCCUCCAUGGCCUCCUUCAUUCUGCUUGGAGGAGAACCCACCAAGCGUAUAGCAUUCCCUCACGCUAGGAUUAUGCUUCACCAACCUGCUAGUGCUUAUUAUCGGGCAAGGACACCAGAAUUUUUACUAGAAGUGGAAGAGUUACACAAAGUUCGCGAAAUGAUCACAAGGGUUUAUGCACUAAGAACAGGCAAGCCUUUUUGGGUUGUAUCCGAAGACAUGGAAAGGGAUGUUUUUAUGUCAGCAGACGAAGCCAAAGCUUAUGGACUUGUCGAUAUUGUAGGGGAUGAAAUGAUUGACGAGCACUGCGAUACUGAUCCAGUGUGGUUUCCAGAAAUGUUUAAGGAUUGGUAGUGGCUGGAUUUCUUGUAAAUUUAUUUCAAACCUAAAUUCGGAUUUUAUGCUAUUUUAUAGAAAAUAGAAAUACUUCAUGAUGAUGAAUCAUCAGGUUAAGAUCGAUCUAAACCAAUCCAUUUUUUCUAUAUACAUACGACAUGCCAACGGUUAAACAACUUAUUAGAAAUGCAAGACAGCCAAUACGAAAUGCUAGAAAAUCGGCCGCGCUUAAGGGAUGUCCUCAGCGUCGAGGAACAUGUGCUAGGGUGUAUGUGCGACUCGUUCAGAUCAUGAGUUCAAACAAAUAAGAAAAUUUUUGAAGUAUCCAUGAUCGGUACCAAUGAAUCGGAUAGAGCUUCUCUAUCCUAGAUUUCUAUGGUAUAUGGAAUUUAUGGUUUCCUUUGGUGCAAAUUCAAUCAUCUAGAUUGGAAUUGCAAGAAGCAAUUCCUCCAUUGGUAGCAAAUGGUUAUCCAUUAAGCGGAGGAAAUAGUAAUAAAAAGAAAAAGGUUUCUGCUCCUUUAUCUUAAAAGAACGGACUAAAGGGCCAGCUACUUAGUCAACUUUCAUAAUUAAAUACCGUCACUGUAUGAAUAACUCUUAUUGUGAAAAGAGCUAUUUACUCUAUAAUGGAUAGGUAGAGCCAAAGAAUGUGAACUAUACAAGUUCACAAUACCUUUUGAUGAAAUGAAAGAAAGGGCUCCGGUGUAUAGAGAGGGCCUCGCCGUUUAAAAGGGAACCAUAGAAACGAUGGAACCCACUGUUUUUUUAAUAUCGUUAGAAUUUGUUAUUUCUAUGCGAAAUAAGUGAAGAGAAUAGAAUAAAAAAUCGUGGUUGGGAAGGUUAUAGUAGCAAAAGCCAUUGGAAUUAAUAUUUUAUAUAUCGGAAUAAUUCGUUUUGUUAUUAAUGGGAAAAAAGAGGGUUAAAAAGAAGAGAAAUCAUUAGUUAUUCAUUAAGGUUAAUUUGAUUCAAUGACCAGAGUUCCGCGAGGAUAUAUAGCUCGAAGACGACGAACAAAAAUGCGUUCAUUUGCCUCAAACUUUAGAGGGGCUCAUUUAAGACUUAAUCGAAUGAUUACUCAACAAGUAAGAAGAGCUUUUGUUUCUUCUCAUCGAGAUAGAGGCAGGCAAAAGAGGGAUUUUCGUCGUUUGUGGAUCACUCGGAUAAACGCAGCAACACGGGUAUAUAACGUAUUCGAUAGUUAUAGUAAAUUAAUACACAAUCUGUACAAGAAGGAAUUGAUUCUUAAUCGUAAAAUGCUUGCACAAGUAGCUGUAUCAAAUCCAAAUAAUCUUUACACGAUUUCCAAUAAAAUAAAGACCAUCAAUUAAAGGGAUAAAAAAGUAAUAUACAGGAAUAAUUAAAAACGAAUUCCCGGAGAGGGAACUCCGGGAAGAUACAAUAAAUUAAGAUUAAGUGGUAGGAAUCAACGAGCAUGUUGCAAUAAAUAAAAAAACUAUUUCUUUUUUCCCAUUUUUCUUUCUUAUAACAAACACAAGAAUCAAAACUGGAUUACUUUCUUUAUAUAUGAGUCUGACCCUUUCGAAUAAAACAUCAACAAUCGGAACUUAAGUUUCGAUUGUUGUUUCUUAAAUUCUGGUUGGAGUUUCUUAAGUUUCGAUUGGAAUUGAACUUUUGUGUUAAUUGAGGAAUAUGUCUAUUUUUUCUGUGUCUAGGACCAGUAAUUAUUGAAAUUGACUGGGCUUGAAAUUGCUUCUCAUUCUCAUAGUUACGAAAUGGUAAGAAAGAUAAAAUACGAGCCUGUUUUAUAGCAAGAGUAAUUAAUCGUUGUUGUUUCAAGGUUAAUCUAUUUAUUCGUCUGGAUAAUAUUUUUCCUUGUUCACUAAUAAAUCGAUUAAUUAAACUCAUGUUUCUAUAAUCAAUUCGAUCCCCCGGGCCUAUUCGAGAACGCCUACGAAAAGGUUGUUUGGAUUUACGAAAAGGUUGUUUGAAUUUACGAAAAGGUUGCUUUGAUUUAUGAAAAGUUUGUUUGGAUUUACGAAAGGGUUGCUUAAAUUUAUGAAAAGGUUGUUUAGAUAUAUACAUGAUUUAUUCCUUAUUUAAAAAUUUGAAAAAAAAAAUGGAUUUCUUUAUUUUAUUAAUUUUGGAUCCAGAAGAAGUAGUCUUUCUUUGGUCCAUAUAUUAUUUAAUUCAUAUACUAUAUAUAAAAAUAAAAAUAUAAACCCUCUAUACAAUACAUAUGAAAUAAUAUCUACCUAAAAUCAGAUGAGUUGAUUUGUAUUUUGUGUUCCAUCUAUGUUCUAUAUAUUUAAUAAGAAGUUCUUACUCUUUCUGUUCUUUGGAAAAAUUGAACACACGAUGCUCCUAUUUCUUUAUUUCAUUAUGAGUCGUAUGCUUGCGACAAUAACGACAAAAUUUUCUUAAUUCUAAUUGUCCGGGUGUAUUGUGGCGAUUCUUUUGAGUACUAUAUCUAGAAAUCCCCGUCGAUUCCUUAUUGGUACCCUUUCGAACACAAUUAAUACAUUCCAAAAUAACUCGGAUUCUAACAUCUUUGCCCUUGGCCAUGAACCUCCUUUCCUUUUUGGAUCGACUUAACUUAAUUCUUAUACCUAUUCUUUUAUUCUUCUAUUUUGGAUCCAAAGAAGAAGAAUAAAAUCCAUAGAAGCUCCUAACUAAAAAUGCGAUUUCUAAAGAUUUUGUUGUAAUUCUUCGAAUUCUCUAACGAAUCCAAUAGAAUAAAAAAAUUUUGAAAUUCGUAAAUUAAGUAAUAAAAAAUAGAGAAAUAAUUAAAGAAUACAAUCCUUAUCCAUCUUUUCUUUCUUUUUGCUUCAUAUACUAAAAAAGAAUUCAAAAAGGGAAAAUUUUCGUCAUGUCAUGUCACGAAGAAUUCUAUCUCUCGCAUAGGAAUAACUAGAAUUAAACUCUCGCAUAGGAAUAACUAGAAUUAAAAAAAAGGGAAUGACAAAGCAUCUGGGAAUAAACGAUUGAUUUCUAUCAAUAAACCUGCUAAAGCCCCAAACCAUAGAGUACUUAGCACGGGUGCUACAGAGAGAUAUGUUUUUAUAUCCCGCAUUGAAAAUCCUCCUUCCGUAUUGGAAUACAUAUAUGAUCAGAUACUCUUGCCCAAGAUCCUUUGUAUUUCUUUUGUUUAGGCGAAAUUCCUAACUAAAAAAACAAAAUCAAUAUUCUAUAUAUAUAGAAUGAUUCAUAAUAGACGAGAUUUUCCUAUCCCUAAAAAAGAUGACCCCUUCUUCCUAUACAUUACUAAGGAAUAGGAAUCGUUCUUUUCUAGGUGAAAUUCGACUGGAUUUUAGAUGUAUACCCUUCCCUUCCUUGAUUAUAUGAGACCAAAAACAAGAAAUGACAAGAAAGUUCUAUAUAGAUAGAGAAAUAGAAGAAAAUUACGAUGUGGAAAACAAGAAAGGAAUUAUGUACAAUCCCCUUGUAGAACAAUUUGGAAAAGGGAUGUAGCGCAGCUUGGUAGCGCGUUUGUUUUGGGUACAAAAUGUCACAGGUUCAAAUCCUGUCAUCCCUACCUAUUAAUUCUCUCUUCUUUAUGGGCAGUAGUGGGGAGAUCAAUUAAAGUGGGUAUAACUUGAAUUUGUGGAUACUAUACGGACGUGAGACACGUUAGGAGUAGAAAAGGAUUUGCUUUUUGUUUUGAGAGCGCUCUUAGUUCAGUUUGGUAGAACGCGGGUCUCCAAAACCCGAUGUCGUAGGUUCAAAUCCUACAGAGCGUGAUUCCAUAUAUCUUAUGUCAAAACAGAGUAAAAUAACUUAAAAAAACAAAGUAGAAUUGCAAUUCCAAUUUGACCUCCUCCAGACCAGAGAAGAGAGGAGGUCAAUCAAAAAAGAAAUAUUACUCAAUCAAAGAUCCAACUGAUCCCCACGCCUGUAUUGCAAAUACGCAGUCACGAAUAAUCCCGCUAAAGUAAUAGGAAUUAGGCCUAAGACGAUUCCAAAUAGAAAAACUUCAAUCAUUUCGAUUUGUUCGAGGGGAUAAAAAAAAAAGAGGUACGAUCUAUCUCUAAAUAAUAGUCUAAAUUAUCCACGAAUCUCAAUGACCAAGAAAAGAAUUGAUAAUUAGUGUGGAAAAGAGUCUAGAAUACCAGGAAUCCAAAAGAAAGAUUAUUCUUUUCUGACUUAUUCAUUCAAUUCAUUUCAAAUAAGACGUAUCUUGUUCAAGCCAAUAAAUAGAGCUGGGGUUAUAGUUAAAGCAGCCAGUAGAAAACCGAAAUAACUAGUUAUAGUAAGCAUGAAGGGGUUAAAUUCCAUUUAUUUUUUUACUACACUACAUAUGUUGGUAAAGCACUUACCUAAGUUAUGGAAAAUUCAUAAUUCAUCGGUUAUUUUAGAUAAUACUAAAAAACAAGAUAGAGUGAGAUACAAAAGUGUAAAAGAAAAUCGAUUCAUCAGACGGGACAUGAGUCCCUAAUGCCGAAUCAAGAGAUUUGUUGUGGAAUUUGUCAGUAAAGUAAUAAUAUUAAAAACUAGAUCAUCUAACCCCAUUGAAAAAUAAAAUUGGGUUUUCGGGGAAAUUUUGGAAAAAAAGAUUAAUAAAGAAUUUAAUUUGAAAAAAGUUCUUUCUAUUUCGGAUUAUUUCUUUUUCAAUAGGAUGGAUUUCAUCCUUUUUUUGGAACAAACGGUCAAAUAUUCCCCUAUUCCUUCUUAUCAAAUAUUCCCCUAUUCCUUCUUAUUUUAACUCAUUGUAUUCCAUAUGGAAUAAGAGGAGAAGAAAAGCAUUCCACGACCCCCGAAGGGCCCCCUGAAAAAGGGAACUCUUCCUUGAAUUUACUUUUUUUUAUUUAUUUUUAUUCGUUUUUUGAACCCCAACCAAAGUUGAUUCGAAGUUACUUCAAUUAUCCUUUUCUUUUAAGUUCUUUUCGUAAAGUUCCAUGCUUGCAGUUUGGUCAAGAAAGUUAGACUUAAUCCAACAAACAAGACAAGGAUUGAUUACGAAUCUUGAUUCUUCAAAGAAUCUAUUCUGUUUCUUUCAUAACGGAUUAUCUACUAUUCGAUUUUCUAUUUAUUAGAUAUUAUUUUAUGCUAACCAAUUUCAUUCCUUAAAGGGAAAGGUUGGAUUCGAAUGAAACUUUUAUUUAACUAAAAAAAGGGAUAGAUUUUGCAUAUACUUAUCCUUGUAUUGCGUCAAUAUGAGAAUAUCCUUUCUAAAUUCUUUAUCUUAUUGAUCAUUAACUUAGGUUUUCCCAAGAUCUUGGCCGCUAUUAGAAAUGAAAUUAUUCUACUAUUCCGAAGACAAUGAAAAUAAGUAGGACUCCAAAAAUUGUGGGGUUCUAUUGCUGCCUUGAAUAACAUGUAAUUUCCCUAUAGACAAGGAACAAAGAAGAGAAAAAAGGAAUUCUGUUUCGGGACCAAGCAAAACUGGAUUGCUGUGCCAUAGGAAGGAUAGCUAUACUAAUUCGGUAUACUCAAAAUACACCUUUGGUACAAAAUUGACAAUCUCACAAGGAUGAAAUAUCAGUAAUUUUCUAUUUACUGGUCGAUCCCAUCUUUUACGGAAUCAAUUCCUUUUUUGAAUGUACAAAAAUUUGAGGAGCUCAGCAUGUCUGGAAGCACGGGAGAACGUUCUUUUGCUGAUAUUAUUACCAGUAUUCGAUAUUGGGUUAUUCAUAGCAUUACUAUACCUUCCCUAUUCAUUGCGGGUUGGUUAUUUGUCAGUACGGGUUUAGCUUAUGACGUGUUUGGAAGUCCUCGACCAAACGAGUAUUUCACGGAAAGCCGACAAGGAAUUCCAUUAAUAACCGACCGUUUUGAUUCUUUAGAACAACUAGAUGAAUUUAGUAGAUCCUUUUAGGAGGCCCCCAAUGACCAUAGAUCGAACCUAUCCUAUUUUUACAGUGCGAUGGCUGGCUGUUCACGGAUUAGCUGUACCCACGGUUUUUUUCUUGGGAUCAAUAUCAGCAAUGCAGUUCAUCCAACGAUAAACCAAAUUCCAACUAUAGAACUAUGACACAAUCAAACCCGAAUGAACAAAAUGUUGAAUUGAAUCGUACCAGUCUAUACUGGGGUUUAUUACUCAUUUUUGUACUUGCUGUUUUAUUUUCCAAUUAUUUCUUCAAUUGAGAGAAAGAAAGAGAGUAGUAAUAAUUCUCUUAUCCCAUUUGGAAGGAUACCAUCCUUAUAACUAUCCAUGACUGUUUUUGUCUCUAGCAUGACCACUUGAGAAAAUGUGGAGGAAAGUAGGGGAAAUGGCCGAUACUACUGGAAGAAUUCCUCUUUGGCUGAUAGGUACUGUAACUGGUAUUCUUGUGAUUGGUUUAAUAGGUGUUUUCUUUUACGGUUCGUAUUCUGGAUUGGGUUCAUCUCUAUAGUAAUCGGAGGAUCCAGAUUGUAAACAUGAAAAAGUAGGAGCUUAGCGGGUCCUUACCCCCCUUUAUCUGAUUAGAGCGGAAAGGGCCCGCAGAAUUCUUAUAACGCGAUUUUAUUCCAUAAUCUAGAAAUUGGUUACCUAAUUUCUAUUUGUAAAAAUAACAAAGAGAAAACCUUUGCUCUGAUGGUUAGAAUCCCUCUAUUUAUUCUUUUGUUUGUUAAUGAUGUUAGUGAAGCAAUCCAUCGGUCCAUUUAAAGCCCUCGCCUUUCACCCAUAAAAUGGAUUCACUCUUAUGAAGCAACAAGAAAGAGGGGAGAGGAUCCAGUAUUUUAUUCCAUGAAGGAAGUAUCCUGCAAAUCAUUGAUUUAGUUUCGAGUAAUAAACUAAUAAAACCUUAAUCAAAACUACUCAACUAGCCUAAACCACCCUUAAAUGGGAGGGUAUACAUUUUUUUUUACCAAAUUUCUGUAAGUUCGAAGUUGAACUUAAUUGAAAAAGUCAAGCAAUUCCAUUUGCUCAAAAUAAAUUUGUCCCCCGCCAUACUUUCUUUCCCUCUGUUUGUCCACUACCGCGCCCGAACCUAAACAAAGGAAGUCCAAAAGAUAGACCCGAAUAAAGAAUAACUAGUAAUCUUUGACAAAACAAAUAAGAAGAAAAAUGAUUCUUACUUCGAUACAAGAAAAGAAGAAUCGACACAAGAAAAAGGCAAAAAAGCCUUUUUCUUGUGCCCAAUAGAGGAUUAAGAAGACCCGCAAUUCCUCCUAAAAGGACUUGUUCCUUUUAUUGUUCUCGCCUCUGCCUUGGAUCCUCUUCUUUUGCAUGAGAUAGAAAUAAGGAAUUCCAGAAAUCGAGGCUUUUUUCUAACUUGAUGGUAAGAAAUCCCAGGAUCUAGAAAUUCAUUUCGUACAAUUGAACCUUUUCAAACUGUUUCUUUUUGAGAACCAAAAAAACUUGUGCCAAAAUAACAGAUGCGAAGAAGAACAAAAGGCCUUGGACGCGCAAUGGAUCCUGAAGCACUAUUUCUGCAUCCCCCUGACCAAACCCUCCGACAUUAGGAUUGCUUGUUAAUGGUUGAUCAAGCUUGAUCGAUUCCCCCUCUGAAACUAGAAGUUCUGGCCCGGGAGGUAUAAUAUCAAUCACUUGGCGUCCAUCCGACGCAUCGACUAUGGAUAUUUCAUAUCCCCCCUUUUCUUUACGUAGUAUUUUUUUUACUAUACCUGUUGACGUAGCAUUAUAGACCGUAUUGUUACUCUUGCUACCAUCAGGAUAGAUCUGUCCCCUUCCUCGGUUUCCCCCUACAUAUAUGGGAUAUUUUAAGAAAUGAACGUCUUUUUUCGUAGCAGGAUCGGGGGAAAGAAUAGGAAAGACAAUUUCACUAUAUUUCUUACCGGGAACAGGGCCUAUCACAAGAAUAUUUUUUUUAUUGGGACGAUAACUCUAAAAAGAGAGAUUUCCUAUCUUUUCUUUCAACUCAGGAGAAAUACGGUCAGGCGGCGCUAAUUCGAAUCCCUCGGGCAAAAUAAGAACAGCACCCACAUUCAACCCUCCCUUUUUACCAUUAGCAAGAACUUGUUUCAGCUGCAUAUCAUAAGGGAUUCGAAGAACUGCUUCAAAUACAGUAUCAGGAAGCACUGCUUGGGGAACCUCAAUAUCCACGGGCUUAUUAGCUAAAUGGCAAUUGGCACAUACAAUUCGUCCAGUUGCUUCCCGUGGGUUUUCAUAACCCUGCUGCGCAAAAAUGGGAUAUGCAUUUGAAAUAGAUGUGCGAGUUAUUACGUAUAUCAUGAUCGAUACGGAAAUCGAUCGAAUCAUCUGUUCCUUUAACCAAGAAAAAGUAUUUCUAUUUUCCAUGUCCAAUCGCGGAUCCCGGAAUUUCUACAAUAAAUUAGAUAGGUAGCUAAGCUAAUCUAGUUCCCUAUACACGAGUCUGUUGUCAUUCUACUGCAACAGUUGUACUGGAAUGAUGAAUACCUUGAGCAGGUAGAAAUAGAAAGAAUUUUGCUAAAAAGGAAAAGGCUUUCUUUCUAAAGGAAGAAAUAUGCUAAUUUGAUUAAUAUUAGGAAAAAUAUUAGGAAAUCAAAUGAGUGAGUUUAUGCUUCACUAAUCGAAUGAUAAAUGACUACAAGUGAAGGAGAUAGACGGUUUAAACAAAAAAAGACCCAAAAUUUCAAACACGUGUCUAGAAUAACAGGAAAACUACAAACAAAAAUAGUGAAAAUUAGCUCGUUAGGAGCCCAUCCAAAAUUGUUGUAGACCCAACGAAUUAGUAGUUCCCAACCGCGGGUGGAGUGAAAUCCAACAAAAAAAUCAGUAACUAAAAGAAUAAAAAAAGCUUUUAUUGAGUCAUUUAAGUUAUAGAAAAAUUCCUGAACCCAAGAAUUCAAAAUGACAAGUUCUUCUUUACCCAGAAAAAAAGAACCACUUAGAAUAGCCAAACAGAUUAUAUUUGUUGAGAAAUGCAAAAUGGUAUGGAGAUGAUCCUCAUUAUCUAUUUUGGCCAAUUGUAUUAUUUCCUUGUGUAUUCCUAUAGGAGGUUUUUGUACAUGUGUCUUCGGUUUCUCUUUUAUCAUUUCGUCCAAGAGAAAAAGUUCUUCUAAUUCUAUGAAUCCUUCUAGAAUCCUUUUCUCUUGAAUAUCAGUUAAGAAAGUUUCGGAUUGCCUGGUAUUCCACCAAUUCUUAAUCCAAAGUUCCAGGCAUUUGUUAAAAGAGAAAGAGAUUCCCCAGGGCAAAAGUACGAUAAAUACAAGAUAUAGGAAAGAAGGCAAUGCUUUCUUUUUUUUCAUUUUUGAUCUGUAAAUUGAGUUGUUAAUGAAUCCGCUUCAUUCGCCGACUCUAUUUCAUUCGCUGAAUAUAUAUGAUAUUUCUUUUCUUUGAAACACAAAUUCUAUAACAAGGUUUGAGACCUUGUGUUUGUAUCUAUUUAUCUUUUUGUAUACUAGUGGAAUUUCAUUGUAUUGGGUUCUUUCUUAGAUCUAAAUGGAGUGGAAUAGAGAAAUAAAAAAAAGGCCUUUCAUAUAAAAAUGGAAGAAUAUUAUGCCAUAUAUCUCACUUGGAUAAAACAAAUUAGAAGCAAUUUUCUCUUAUUCUCGUUUGUUCCUUCCUUUAGAUAAAUACUCGAAAAUCCCUUACAAUUGCAAAAAAUUGCAAUUGGUACUCAAAAUACUUCAAUUGGUACACGCAAGAAAUAGGCCAAUUCGGCAGCUUUUUGUUCAAUUUCUCGUGGAGUAAAAAACUUCUCAUCAGUACGAGUCAAGGGAAUGACCCCCUGGCCCCGGAUUUCCAUAUAAAGGAUACGACGAGGAUAAAGACCCUCUUUAACCUGAAUCCUAAUUGAUUGGAUAUCCCGCACAAGGAAUCGAAGGAAGAUGCGACGUUUUAUUCCAGGGAAUCCCCAACGAAAAAUGCACACUAUUCCCUCUUUUCUAUCGAAUCGGUCAUAACCACUGCCUACAUUCCACAAAAUAGUGCACCACAAAUAGGAGCUAAUGAAUAGGCCCGCGAUUCCGUAGAAAGACAUCACGACCCCCUGUGGAAAAAAAAGAAUUUGUUGAGAUGGAAGUACGGAUAUCAUAUUCUUACCAAGAUAACUGGAAGCCCCAACCGCUAAGAAUCCUAAUGAACCUAGAAAAAGAAUACAGGCCCAGAAAAAAUUACCUCUUUUUCGAGAACCUUUUAGAAGUUCUAUCCAUAUGUGUUCUGAUCGCCAAUUCAUAUUAGAUAUACUAAAUCCAGUAGCGGUCAAUUGAAAUUGAGAGAAUAAGCUAAAUGAUUUUGACUUUACUUUUUUUGAUUCUGAAAUAACCUUCAGUAGCUAGUACUCCUGUGAAAUAAUUGGUUAGAUACAUUGACUUUCUAUUCAAAAAGAAUUCGUGGAUCCACUUAAAAAAAACUCGCUAUACUCGGCUACGCAUAUGCAUGAAUUUAUGCUCGUAGCCUAUAUCUGCAUCCAUAGACGUUUUUCAUUUGUGUGUAGAAAGAGCUACAUACCCUAUCAUAUUAUAUUACUUACACAAAAAAAUAUCUGUAUUAUGAUCCUGGAAAUACAUUAAGAAAAUUGGGCCCCGUCGUUUCUAGACAAUCUUAUUUUUCUGCACAUAAAGAAAUAAGGAAGCCAUUGCAAUUGCUGGAAAUACUAAGCCUACUAAAGGCACGAAAAUAGAGGGUAAGUUAAAAUCUGUCAUAGAAUAUGUGUCUCAAUUCAAAUUUACUAUUUCUAUCUAUUCGAAAUAUAUCUUAAGAUUCUUAUGAUAUAAUUAAGUAUAUCUAUUAUAAGGAAUAUUGACUAUUGUAUUUUUUAGUUUACAAAAUAAAGAUUUUGUAUAGAAUACUAUUUUUUUUAGAAUACUAAAGUAUUCUAUAUCUAUAAAAAAAAAUGAAUGGAAUAGAUAAUAAGAAAAUUGCAAAAAAGGGGAACUAAUUAAAAAUAUUUGAUUUUUCUUUUCCCAUUCUCAUCACCUUUCUAUCCUUCUAAUCGAACUUGAAAUUGGAGUCAAAAGAAAACUAUUGUGAAAAUAAAAGAAAUACCUCUUUCAGAAUACCCUUUAAUUUCACUUUAAUUUAAAAAGUAGAAGUGGAAUAGAAUACCCGGUUGAAGGGUAAUGAUCAUACGUCUGUAAUGCAUUGUAUGUCCCAGAAUAGGUCCCAUUCUUCUACCCUUUCCGGGUAGUCGAUGGCUAUUCACAGCUACUACCUUAACACCAAAGAAGAGUUCGACCCAAUGCUUUAUUUCUGUCUUAGUGAAUCCCGAUUCGACAUUACAAGUAUAUUGAUUCUUUCCCAAUAAACGAAGACUCUUUUCUGUAAAUACUGCGUAUUUGAUUCCAUUAUCGUAUGAUAAUACUAUAUUUUGAUUUCUAUUUGUUUAUUGUAUUAUACCUUUAUAUAUUCUAGAUAUAUAGAAUAGAAGAAUCUCGAUUUGUCAAGUCUCAUGAUCGUAUCAUGAUCUAUUUAAAUUCGGCUCAAUCUUUUUAGAAAAGAUUGAGCCGAAUUUAAUUGCAAUCAAUUAGAAAAAUAAAGAAGAAUUACUGCAUUUCGUAACUGAUUUUUUCUCUUUCUAUAGGGUAUCCAUCGCUUCGAACUCAAAUUUGAUCUCCUUCCAUACUUCACAAGCUGCGGCUAGUUCAGGACUCCAUUUGCAAGCUGCUUUGAUAAUUUCAUUACCUUCACGAGCAAGAUCGCGCCCUUCGUUACGGGCUUGUACACAGGCUUCUAAAGCCACACGAUUAGCUGCUGCACCAGGUGCAUUUCCCCAAGGAUGUCCUAAAGUUCCUCCACCAAAUUGUAAUACAGAAUCGUCUCCAAAGAUUUCGGUCAGAGCUGGCAUAUGCCAAACAUGAAUACCCCCUGAAGCCACCGGUAUAACACCUGGCAUGGAUACCCAGUCCUGAGUGAAAAAGAUACCGCGAGAACGAUCUUUUUCAAUAAAAUCAUCGCGCAAUAAAUCAACAAAACCUAAAGUUAUUUCGCGUUCCCCUUCUAACUUACCUACUACUGUACCGGAGUGGAUAUGAUCUCCCCCCGACAUACGCAAUGCUUUAGCUAAUACACGGAAAUGCAUACCAUGAUUUUUCUGUCUAUCAAUAACUGCAUGCAUUGCUCGGUGAAUGUGAAGAAGUAGGCCGUUGUCGCGGCAAUAAUAAGACAAACUAGUAUUUGCGGUGAAUCCUCCAGUUAAGUAGUCAUGCAUUACAAUAGGAACCCCUAAUUCCCUUGCAAAUGCAGCUCUCUUAAUCAUUUCUUCGCAUGUACCUGCAGUCGCAUUCAAGUAAUGCCCCUUAAUUUCACCAGUUUCUGCUUGUGCUUUAUAAAUUGCUUCAGCACAAAAGACAAAACGGUCUCUCCAGCGCAUAAAUGGUUGUGAGUUUACGUUUUCAUCAUCUUUGGUAAAAUCAAGUCCACCGCGUAGACACUCAUAACACGCUCUACCGUAAUUUUUUGCGGAUAAUCCCAAUUUUGGUUUAAUAGUACAUCCCAAUAAAGGACGACCAUACUUGUUCAACUUAUCCCUUUCAACUUGGAUACCGUGAGGCGGACCUUGGAAAGUUUUUGAAUAAGCAGUGGGAAUUCGUAGAUCCUCCAAACGUAGAGCGCGUAGGGCUUUGAAACCAAACACGUUACCCACAAUGGAAGUAAACAUGUUAGUAACAGAACCCUCUUCAAAUAGGUCUAAUGGAUAAGCUAUAUAACAGAUAUAUUGAUCUGCCUCCCCAGGAACGGGCUCGAUGUGAUAGCAUCGUCCUUUGUAACGAUCAAGACUGGUAAGUCCAUCAGUCCAAACAGUUGUCCAUGUACCAGUAGAAGAUUCCGCAGCUACUGCAGCCCCUGCUUCUUCAGGCGGAACCCCGGGCUGAGGAGUUACUCGGAAUGCUGCCAAGAUAUCAGUAUCCUUGGUUUCGUACUCCGGGGUGUAGUAAGUCAAUUUAUAAUCCUUAACACCAGCUGGUUCGCUGCUUCCCUAUACUGUUUUAGCACGGUUCGUCGCUCCCUCGCGUGAUGGUGCAGCUUUUUCAAGUCCUACACCACUGCAUGCGCAAGAGAUUCGGAUGAUUGUCGCUGAGCUAGUGCAUGCAUGCAAGAAAAGACAAACUUGCUGAUGUCACCCACGUGCAAAACCGUUUGCUUAAAAAAACUAUAAAUCUUAAACCGACCAUCAAAAUUAAAUUCCGAUUGCACCAUUAGAUUUCUAACAAUAAAAGCUCCACAACAAGAUCCCACGAGACUAUAUUUGGAUGAACUUUUUUUAUUCAUAUUUUUUAAUCAAGGUUACAUAUUUUCUCUGAGACAUAUACACGUAGAACAAAUUCUACAAACUUAUGGAACAAAACAAUCAUACGCAUCAAACAAAAAAUAUGAACACAAAAAAUACAAACGUAUAUCCUUAAAAUAAAUUAUACAAACUUACAAAACAAAUAUAACCAAUGCAUGCUUGAAAUGCAAUAGAGGACGAAAUUGAUGGCAUCACCCCACGUGCAAAGAAAGUUUGAAUCUAAACAAAUCUAUAGAACUCUACAUCUAAAUUAAAUUCCGAUUCCACUAAUAAGUUUCUUACAACAAGAUCUUCAAAAUAAGACCCACUUAGUAUAUUUGGAUAAAUAUUUUUAUUAACUUUUUUACCGAGUUGGAAUUUUUUCUCAAAUAUAUAUAUACCUAUAAAAAAAUUACGAACUCACAGAAUAAAAUAAUUACUAUUGGCGGUAGAAUAAUUAGUGCAGAUAAAUAACUAUUUUAUGCGAAUAGAAAAUUAAACAUGAAAAAAAAGGUAGAAUGCGAACAAAAAGAUUAUGCAUCACAAACAAAAGAUUAAGAAUGAUGAAUAAAAUAGUGGUAUACCACGAACAAAAAUAUUGAACAUCACGGGCAAUCGAUCGUACAUGGAAAAUAUAGAACAGAAACAUCACGAACAGAUAACUUAGUCUACAUCUUCAAACAACUUAGUCAUGAAAAACUUAAUUAUUUAGUCAUAAAAAAACACAUAGAUAGGAGAAUAUGAACAUAAAGUUAGAAGAUUCUUUAAGAUACGUGUAUACAGAACAAAAUAACUCACGGAACAAAAGAUCUAUAUACCUCGAACAAACAAAUAAUCCACGAGUCUCUCUAUAUAUAAUCCACAAAUAAUCUAGAUAUAUAAUCCAGUCUGUAUAGUUGAACAGUUCAGUCUUUAAAGCCAACAAAUAAUUUGACACACAAACAAAUAAUUAUACACAAAAGCAAUCAUAUAAUGAUAGCCAUACAAACUAUUUAUGCAUGGUCAUAAAAAAAGCAAUAAUAGAAAAGGAAAUAGGGAAAGGAAAAUGAAUCCAAUAGGAAAAAGAAAGAUAAAUUACGUAUAAGAAGAAAUAUAUAGAAGAGAAUAUGAAUUAACAUAUAAAAUAAAUUAUUAAUUAAUUAAGGUAAUAAAAAGGAAAACAAAACAAAAGGUGAAAAAAGAAAGAAAUAAGAAGGAAUAAGAAAAGGAAAUACGAUUUUAAAGAUAUGAUGAUAACAAGAAGAUAAAAUAAAAGAAAGUAAAAGGUGAAAUAAAAUAUAAUAAAAAUAUAAUGAAAAAAUAAAAAGGAAAAAAUGAUAAAUAGCAUACGUUAAGGAGUUUCUAUAAGAUGGUUAGAAAUAAAAUAGAAGAAGAAAAUAGGAAUGACGGAAUAUAGAAAGGAAAAGAGAAGAGAAAUGAAAAAAGCAAAAAGGACAAAGGUGUGACGUACGGUAGAAAAGUUAAAUCAACAAGUAAGAGAGAAAAUGAAGGAAAUAAAUGGAAAAUAAAAAUAGGCUAAAAAGGUUAAAAAACAAAAAAUAAAAAGAAUGUAGUAAUGGAAGGUAAAAGAAGAACGGAAGAAUUACGUACGGAUAUAAAAAAUGAAAAGAAUGAAAAAGCAAAAACGAAGAAAAGUAGAACGGAAGAAUUACGUACGGAUAGGAAAAAUGGAAAAGCAAAAUCGAAAAAAAAAAAGAAACAAAAGCCUUACGCACGUCAUCAGCUACAAAGCAGCUCAGCAGUAGCUGGAGUUGGGCCGGCACCAGCGUUUCAGGCUUUUGAGAGAGAAAGAUAGAAUCGAAAAGCCUAAGAAGACCCGCAUAAGCAACAGCUUUGAAUGUGAUACUGGGCCGAAUUCACGCCACCGGCCCACGCGAGAUACUUCAGGCGACAAAUAGUUUGCUGUCGCGUACAUAGUCGUGGCGCUUUUUCUCUGUCCGCCACCGAGUCCGCCACCGUGUUGCGUUCCUUGCCGAUGGAGGAAACCCUAGCCGCCGAAUCCGCCGCCGGCGAGACGCACGCCGCGGUGGAGACGGAGCGGAAGGAAGAGACGCUCGAGGAGGUGCUCGCCAGACACAGGUUAGUAGCACUCCUCCUUCCCCAUGCCUGCUGUGGAUUGGGGCGAUUCAGCUUGUGCCUUCUCGGCUAGAAUUCCGUCAAGUUAUGUAGGGUCGUGCGUCUCGCGAGAAGAAAAAGGGCUUGCUCCUUACUGUUUUUAUUGGGUUAAUAGGUAACUUAUGAGGAAAAGAUCGAUUCUUUUGCCGCGGUAGAUACUUGGGGGUUCUAAAUUAUAGGAUGACUGGUUCACUACUUCACUGGAUUUGGCCCACUCGUGCGGCUGUGGAUUUCCAGUAAUCCAAACAGUUGCAAAUUUUAUUUAUCUAGGAAGGUGGUCAUGUCUCUUCUUGGCCUAGAUGACUAGAAUUCCUCUUAGGACUGUAAGAAAGGAAGUUUCAUGGCGACAGUUAAACUGCAUCGCUAUAAAAGCUGUGUAUAUAGUGAUAUAUGCUUGCGAGUAGAUGUUAUGUUUACAUGCUGUUGUUCAAGUGAUUACAUACACAUGUAACCCGAGUUGGUUCACUGCGCAAUUUUAACUGAAAAAUGUGGUGCAGUAUGUGAGAAUUUAAAGCAUCUAGAAGAUAUCACAGCGGUUCAAACAAACUGAUAGCUCAGUGGUUGGGCACCCAGUUGUUGCCAGCCGACCAGGGCUCGAACCCUGGGUUGCGCAAAAAAGGUCCCCUGCUAUGCGCCUCAGUUGUUCAGCCAGGACGGCCCACCCUUAGCUAAUGCCGGCUUUCGGGACCUUUUCUCGACCUUUGAUGCGUAUUGUUUGAUUUUGGUUUUAAUAGGACGCAUGAGGAAAGGAUCGAUUUCCCCCAUGGCAGAUGCUUGGGAUUCUAAAAAUUGUAGUCUGUCUUGGUUUGCUAGAUUUGGCACCUCUUGUGCGGCUGUGGAUUUCCAGUAAUCCAAACAUUUGCAAAUUGAUAUAUUUAGGAAGUUGGAAGUUGGACAUGUUUCUUCUCGACCUAGAUGACUGGAAUUUCCCUCAGCGACGUAAAAAGGAAGUUUCAUGGUCACAGUUAAACUUCCUUGCUAUUAGAGUUGUGUAUAAUAUAUGGAUGCAAGUACAUGAUAUUUUUGGGUACUGUUUGCUUUGUGGCCUGGUUGUUCAGCCAGGAAGGCCACUCUUGGCUAAUGUUUGUUUUGGGACCUUUUCUCGACCCUUGAAAUUCCUUAAGGUAAAAUCAUGGGGACUAUCUCCGGUGGUUGAUUUUUGCUAUGAUUGCUGGUGAUGCUUGAUGCCCACAUUUUGCCCCCUGGUUUCAUAUGGAUAGGGUUCUGUUAGAUAUAAUGGUGUUAUUCUAUCUCUAGACUCUAGGUUCAUAUGCUGCAUGUCAUGUAACAAAGUGCCUUGCUGCUACAUGGCUGCAAAUUGGGAGUAUAGAAGUUCAUCUAUGCCAAACUUUACACCAGUGGUGUCUCAACAUUGCUUGCAUAAUGGGAAAGAAUAUCGAUUCCAUGAACAUUCCACUUUUGAGCCAAUCAGCCUAAAGGAAAAGGUGUUAUGAUAGUAAAGCACUUUGAUUAUUCAUGUUUCAUUCAUUAAAUUUAUGAAAAUCACAUCAAUUUGUUGAAGAAAAUAGAAUAUGCUGCAUGAAUCGCUUUAGGUUUGGAGUUUCAGAUCGUGUGAUGAUCUGAAGGACCUUUGGCUGAGAAUGUAGAUACGUCAAUAUUUUAGGUAUCAAAAUAUCAGUUUCAUAAGGAAGCUUUUAUACUGGAAAAAAGAUGGGACUGUCAGUGCAUGAAAUGUUUGCUUGCCUACUUAUCAAUGUUUGAAGCCUCAAGGUUCUGGUCAGUUUCUACAGAAGCAGAGUUUUCUGCCAGCUUACUGGUUAGGCAUAAUGUGUUUGAUUAUACAUCUUAUGUCUGUUCAUCUCAAACCCAACAAGAUUGUGACCUGCAAAGCUGUGGCUCUUUCAUAUUUGUGCUUGUGUUUUAUGGUGCAAAAUCAGUUGAGUAGCUGAGUAUGUCGAUGUUGGAACUUGCUGUUUUCUGUUUCUUACCUUUCAUCCUUGGAUGUUCAUUACCUAUUUAGGUUUCAGAAAUGGUGGGCUGCAACCUUUUCAAUAAUGUCACAACUCACAAGUUUAUUGACAAUGGGUUUCUGUUCAUUGUGUCUGAAACAGGAAAGAGAAAUCCAAACUCCAGGAUAAGGAAACAAGCCUGAAGAAAGCUGCUGCCAAAGGAAGCAAAGCUGAGCAGAAGGCAAGGAAAAAGCAGGUAGAAGAAGAGAUUACACGCCUGUCAGCUGAGUUAGAGGCGAAACAUGCUGCGGAGCUUGCCUCUUUUGGGUACAAACCCUCAGGCAGCUCAGAAAAGGGUAACCUUGACAACUUAGUGAAGGCCAUAGCUGGUGUUACCAUGUCCAGCAAUUCAGAGUCUGCAAAGCCCAGCAAGGGUGCAAAGCGGCGACAGAAGAAGGCAAAGGAGGAAGCUGCUCGAGAGCAACGGAUCCAAGAAGAACAAAGUAAUCUCGUCAGCGACCGCAUGCUGGAAAACGAUAAGCUCGAAAGUAAGCUUGAGCCCUUGGGGCUGACCGUCCAAGAAAUAAAGCCAGAUGGCCACUGCCUGUACCGUGCUGUAGAAAACCAGCUUUCGCUCCAUUCCAAUGGCACUGCACGGUACAGCUACCAGGACCUACGGCAAAUGACAGCCAAGUACAUGAGGGAACACGCAGCCGAUUUCCUCCCCUUCUUCUUAGCAGAAGGGAAGGCAGAGACUGGGUCGGAUCCCUCUGAGAGCUUCGAGAAGUACUGCCAGGAGAUCGAGUCCACUGCAGCGUGGGGUGGACAUCUCGAGCUUGGCGCGCUGACCCACUGCCUCAAGAAGCACAUCGUGGUCUACUCGGGCUCCUUCCCAGACGUGGAAAUGGGCCAAGAAUACAAAUCUGGAGGUAGUAGUGCUGGCGAUGCUAGCAUCAGGCUGUCCUUUCAUAGACAUGCCUACGGUCUCGGUGAGCACUACAACUCGGUGAUUCCGACCGAGUCAUCAUAACAAAAGGAAUUCAAUAGUCUCUAAUAUGUUUGACUGUUUACUGGCGCUGCCCGUUGGAGUUCAAACACAGUAGAUGACUUGUUUUCGGCCCCUCUUAACGUUUUUCCAUCUUCUCAUCGGUCGAUGAUGGUUGAGUGUGUACCAAUCCAAUCAAAGCUGUAUUCGGGAGGUUGCUUCCCAAACAAUUUUGCUCUCACCAGUAAUAUGUUUAAUCAGUGAUUUUUUUUCCAUCGGAUGUAGCUUGUUGCUGCUUUUGAGCGGAAUCCUAAAAAUUUGUAUUCCCUCCGUUCCACGUAAUGUAAGUUGUGUUUUGGUUUUUCUAGGUACGUAGAUUUUGUUACGUAUCUGGAUAUAACUCUCUCUAUAUAUAUAGAUGCAUAGUAAAAACUAAAAAUCAAAAACGACUUAUAAUAUAUUUUGGAAUGGAGGGUAAUAUAUUUUGGAACGGAGGGAGCAGUUCCUUUGCCUCUGCGGGCGUUCAUAAGAGUUGUUGCCUAAGCUUUUGCUGCUGUUGCCGUUGCUGAAAUUGGUUUGUAAGAUUUCUUUUGUACGGGUCAGUUGCAGUUUCCCGUCGUUCCGAUCGCUGAUAUACUGCAGUUGAGUUCGACGAUCGGCAAGGUAUAGUGCUCGCCCUCGCCGUCGCAGCCUUCUGGAUUGUCGUCGGUUUUGUUGGGUCAGCGCCGGCGCCGUAGCCACCGCCGCUCGUGGUCAGGUGGAAAGCUCUCUUCCCAUGGCUUCCGCUUCACCUCCAUGUUGCUGCACUUGGACGGCAGCGGGCUCGCCACCGGGCACCGGCACCACCCCGCCGCCGCGGGCUGACUGCGAGAAAUGUCUGGCUUCAUUUUCUGGGCCUCAGCAGUAAACUGGGCCGAGCUGCUGUAGCCUACGCUCCCGCGCGCCUCCGCCGGCUCGGAUCCAGCCGCUCGUUCACGACCCGACGGUUCCGAUGACCCCAGGGGUGGACGGUAAAUGAAAUACCGUCCACCCCCGAUUCCCCACCUCGCCGCGGGCACUGCCAUUCCCGCCGCCGUCCGCCGGCACGUGAGGGGUGCCGCCGUGCCGGGAGUGAGAGAACGGGGUCGUCCUGCCGCGCGGAACCCAAGCGCCUACGAACGUCCAUGGCUGGGAUUUUCCGCCCUCGACGCGCAGCGCACGGGUAGUGAAUGCCGGGGGCCUCGCCGCGCCGGCGCGUCGUCCUCGCCCACCGCGGCACCGCUAACACGGCCACCGCCGCCGCCUUUGCUUCCGCUGGGAAUUGUUUCAGAUCCGUCCGGUGGAAGUCUGAGUGUACCAAUCAAAGCUGUAUAAAUAAUCUUGCUGUUUCGUGGGUUCAAGCGCCGCCACUGUCCUCAUCGUCAUGGCUUGGAAUUUGGAUCCAAUGGGAAGUCCCAGCCGCGUGACCGCCGAUCUUCGUCGAGGCUUCCAGCCGACACCGUCGUAGUAUGCAGUCCUCGCCUUCGUAGCUUAUCUUGUCCAGUCGCACCGCCGUCCGCCGGCGCCUCUUGUCGACAGUAAACUGGUCGGUUGCUACCUUCCAUACCACACUGCCACACACUGUACGCACCAGAAAGCGCACGCCCCGUAACCCGUCGGUACCCGUACGCACGCGCACCUCAGGGGAUAUGAAAGGUGAAAAUCAGUGGCCGAUGAAGGCAUGGAGCUCAGCAACACCACCGUGCCUGCCGGCAGCAGUAUUGUGUCGCCUCGCCGUCCCGUCAGAAGCACAGCUCGUCAGCUCCUCCAUGGCCGCGCCGGCAUAUCCUCCCUCUCCUGCGGCCCGGUCAUACCGCCUUCAUUCUGCAGGGCCCUGCACGGCCGGCGCCGCGCGGGCGUCCACCUUUGCGCGGCGCGAUGACGACGGCGUCGCGUCGCCAGCGCGGCGAGACACGCCGCGCGACUGGGCAACUGAUUUUCCGGGCCUCGGCAUCGAACUGGGCCGAGUCGAUUAGGCCACAUAUCGGCCCACACGACGCUCGCGCUCGCCUCCGCCUGCUCGGAAUCUACCGAUCGUUCCCGAUCCGACGGUCUACGUGACCCCAGGGGUGAACGGUAAAUGAAAUACCGUCCACCCCCGGUCAGUGAACGAAGUACCGACCACGCGUGAAGUCCUCCCCUCGCGACGGCCGCCGCCCUUCCUGCUGCCGUCCGCCCUCCGCCGGCUUGCUGACCGUAGCUGGGGGUGAGAACGCGCGGUCAUGCCGCCGUGCUGACGGUUGCACUCCUCUGGUCGCAAGCCGCAUCGGGUCCUCCGGCUGGGCCUUGCCAGAGUUGCCAGCACACAGACUGUGGCGUGCCUGUAAAUGUUGAGGGGCCUCGCCGGUCGCUGCGCCGGCGCGUUCUCGUCGCCACCGCCGUUGCGGCGGAAAGUAAGACUCAAGGCCACAGCCGCCACCGCCGUUGCUGCGGAAAGUAAGACUCCAGGCCAGGCCACCGCCGUUUACACACAUGGUUGCUAGAGUUUCGGGCAAUCCUUGCCCCAAGUCCAAUCUUUGUUCUCCUUCUCUGAGACAAAAUUACUCUUAUUUGUUCACACACACGCGUACAAUCUUUGUUCACACCGUACUAACCGAUCGUUUCAACACACACGGUACAGUAAAACGCUCGUCACGGCUGCCACUCACGACAGAGACGACACAGGACGAUGCACGAACACGUGAAAAGUACCAUCGAUUACGGCAACUCGAUCGUCCCUUGAGAGACCUCAGAAGGACACCUCCUCCCUGGCCGCCAUGUCCUCCCUCUUCAGCAGCGGUGGCGCGGCGGUGGUUGCGGCGCCCGCCUCCAUCUUGCAGCACUUGCACGGCGGGCUCACCACCGGUGCAGCGCCGCUGCCCUUCCCCUGCCCGUCCGCCGCCUUGCGGGGGACGAUGACGGAGUUGAUCACCUCGUCGUCGGGGUGGUACACCGCAAGCACCUCGAACCCGCCGCGGCCGAUGUCCUCGGGGUCCACGACGGGGUACAGGAACCCGCGCGCCCCGUGCGCGCUCCGCACCACGAGCGCGGCGCCGGGGGCCAUGUGCCGGCCGAGGUGCGCCACCACCCUCGCCUUGUCCUCGGCCGCCAUGCCGACGAGCGCCGCCAGGAACACCACGUCGUACUCGGCGAGCUCCUCCGUGAGGUCGGCGACGUCGGCCGUGCGGAACGACAUGCGCUUCGACAGGUCGGCGUCGGCGCGGACAAGCUUCUUGGCGCGCUCGUUGGCGGCGGCGCACCGGUCGUAGUUGUCGAAGAGGGUGCCGGGGAGGUGGCGCGCGGCGAGGACCAGCGAGCUGAAGGGCAGUGGGCCGGACCCGACGAAGGCGACGCGGGCGGGGGCCAGGCCGGGCACGUAGCGGGCCAGGAGCUCGUACUCGAGCCGGCUCAGGUCGAGGUAGUUGCGGUAGUAGGGGAAGCGGGCGAGGUGGUCGAGCGGGUUGUCGAAGGCGGCGAGCGUGUCAGCGUAGUGGGCCUCCAGCUGGCCCUCGGCGUCGGAGCAGAGGCGGAUGAGCUCCUCCCGCAUCUUCUGCGCGUCGGGGCCGAGCCUCGACACGUCCACGGGGCUCGCCGGGACGCAGGCCGUGACGAGGGCGGUGAAGAGCGCGUCGACGGCCGGGGACGGGCUCAGCGACGGAAGCUUGGCGAUGGCGGCGUGGAGGCCCGAGAUCUUCUCCACCAGGGCGGCCACCUCGUGGUUCUGGGCCUCCAUGUCCGGUCGGUCGCUUGCGCAGUUGUUGUUGAGCUCGGGUUGGGGAGCUAGAAGCUCGCAAUGCGGUGCAGGUGAUCGGCGCCGGCCGGAUCGUGCGAGGCUGAUCGAAAUCGACUGAGCUGCUCGAUGGGCUCUGGAGUGCGCACGCUGGGUGUACAAAUACCCGGCGCCGGGACGCCCGACCGGCGGUUUGCAUGCGGCAUGGCCGGUGGCAGGUGGAGAAGACGACGAUGUCGACGCUUGAUGUUCGCGAAGCUGCGAAGACGAGCGUGCGGCAUGGCGUUCACUGCCGGCGGCCUGUUUCAUGCUUCUAUUUUGGAGUAUGGUCCUACUAGUUCUUUUAAUGUAUUUCUAUUUUUGGAGGCAUAUACUCCUAAUGCUCCUUACAUGCGACGGGAUUUGAACUUGAUCAUUUCCAGAACGGCACAACUUGUAGUAACCAACGGUGCACGUCAAAUCUGUCGAUUGAUCAGGUGCGGAUCAACUCGGCAGAACGUUCUUGAGCCCAAAAGUUCUCACAAACUUAGGAAUCGUGGAGGCAACACAUCCGAAACUCUACCUUUCGCUGUAUGUAGAACACAAUUUUGCUAAGGCGAUGUUUAUUUACAAAAAUAUAUUAUUCAUCCUCAAAUCAAAUCAAAUAUAUAAGAAAACACUUCCCAACUUUCCUUCAAACUCUCGUGCGGGUGCGGCCCACGAAGGGGGUGUUUGGGAGAUAGGGGCUAAACUUUAGCCCUGUCACAUCGGAUGUUUGGAUGCUAAUUAAGAGGACUAGACAUGAGCUAAUUACAAAACUAAUAGCAGAACUCCUAGGCUAAAUCGCGAGACGAAUCUAUUAAGCCUAAUUAAUCCAUCAUUAGCGAAUGUUUACUGUAGCACCACAUUAUCAAAUCAUGAAGUAAUUAGGCUUAAUAGAUUCGUCUCGCGAUUUAGCCUAGGGGUUGUGCAAUUAUUUUGUAAUUAGCCUAUAUUUAAUAUUUCUAAUUAGUAUCAAAUAUCCGAUGUGACAGGGACAACCCCUUUCUCCCAAACAUCCCUUAAUGGCAUCCUGCAGCAUCGCAGCAUCAAUACAGACAGGACCCGUAGCCUCGACUUGUGAGGGAUCCUCGGCAGUCAAAUCCACCAUCGGCGCAAUCUCCGGGACUGUUUGCCGACGGUUCACCAACUCGGUACUCGCCACAUCAGGAACGACAUCUUCUGCAGCUCUGGAUCAAACAAAAGACAAUCAAUCAAUUAUCGCCUAUGGUGCUCUAUGAACCAGCACAACAACACACGAUUACUUACCGGUCUGAUCGCGGAGGUCCUCGUACACGCUUCUUGACAAUAGGCGCCGGCUGCACACCUGCAGCUGGCUCGAUCGGGGCUACAGGAGGCAAAUCUUGAAUAUUCUCACCAAGACCUGAAAUAACUAAUGCUGAGACUACAUAUGCGUGACUACAAGCAAUGCUUGCGUACUCACCGCGAGCAUCGACUUCGGGCCUGUUCGCUUCAGCUUAUCAGCUAUCGAAUAGUAUUUUCCUCUCACAAUAAAUCAGCCGUUUCAGCUUUUCAGCCGGCUUAUAAGCUGAAGCGAACAUGCCCUUCAAUCAUUGUGACACCAGCAACAGCUUCUGGCAUCUUCACAACAUCAGCCAACUCCGCUGCUGCAGGGUCCAUUACUCUGGCACCUGCAACCCCAGCCUUGUCGACUACUUGGACGGUAGUCGGCUUAGGGGCUGCGGUCUCGGGGGCUGGUGGCUCAAUCUCCAUGGGUGCCUCAUUCACCGCGGUGCCCACGCCUGUGGCCGCAUCCUUGGCGAUUUUGACUACCUCGGCAGAAGUAGUCUCUCCAUCGUCAAACACCGCGGCAGAGGCCCUCUCAAUGCUCUCGUUAGCAUCAUCGAUGACCUGCAUAGGGUAACUAUAGUUCAGGACAAUUCAACUACCGGAUAUUACAUCACAAGUACCCAUACCUCGGAUCUUCGCACUUUCGCGGAAGUAAUCACUGAUGGGGUCGCUGCAUGCUCGAUAAGGGAUUUGUUUCGUACCGCAGUUCGGCGCCUCUUUGUCGGUGGAGCUGUAGCUUCAUCAUCAUCACCACUCCCAAUUUGCUCCUCAGCAUCACUAGGCGCAAUCCUGUAUCCCUUCAACACUCAGGACUACACAGGUAAACUGACCAAUUAAAGUCAGGAACAAGUAUUAGUCGGCAGCAACGACUACUAGCAGUCAUGGGUACUCGAAAUAAAAGCUUGAGUAGGGCAACUUACCUCUCUGGGUUCAUACCAAUUGUCAAACUUGUUGAUGGACUCAUCGACUACUGGCACACCUUGAAAGUUCUUGAAUAAUUUAUCCAGCAGUGUCUCCACCGCAUCAUCAGAUAUAUCUCC